rnacentral:lncRNA from 1 species
CCGAAUGGGCUUGGUGGCUUGUGUUCGGGGAGUGGCUUCUCUCCCUGGAGAAGGUUACGAGUUUUGUCAUAUGGCUUUUGUUCUGGUGGUGGCUUCUCUCCCUGGGGUGGUUUGCCGAAUGGGCUUGGUGGCUUGUGUUCGGGGAGUGGCUUCUCUCCCUGGAGAAGGUUACGAGUUUUGUCAGAUGGCUUGUGUUCUGGUGGUGGCUUCUCUCCCUGGGGUGGUUUGCCGAAUGGGCUUGGUGGCUUGUGUUCGGGGAGUGGCUUCUCUCCCUGGAGAAGGUUACGAGUUUUGUCAGAUGGCUUUUGUUCUGGUGGCGGCUUCUCUCCCUGGGGUGGUUUGCCAAAUGGGCUUGGUGGCUUGUGUUCGGGAACUGGCUUCUCUCCCUUGGGAGGUUCAGUUGGUGGCUGCUGUUCCGUAGGUGGUUUCUUCACCGGCGGCUUGUGCUCCGGAAGCGGCUUCUCUACCUGGAGAAGCUUACGAGUUUUGUCCGAUGGCUUGUGUUGUGGUGGUGGCUUCUCUCCCUGGGGUGGUUUGCCAAAUGGAGUUGGUGGCUUGUGUUCGGGGAGUGGCUUCUCUCCAUUGGGAGGUUUAGUUGGUGAUUGGUGUUCCGUAGGUGGUUUCUGAAGUGGGGGAUGCUUGGGGUAGUCAGCAAGAGACGAGGUAGUGAGAACCACCAGUCCCAGCAGCAACACUAGCAAGCAUGUGGAAGACAUCUUUGAGUUCAGGCUGAGAUCUGUGCAAGGAUAACAGAAUUAGGUGGCCUUUUAUAGAGGCCUGGACCCAACACCCAUAUGACACGUGUCAUGCACUCAUGGUGACACAUAAUUCUAUGGGACCAUUUGGGUCCUACAGAAGUUGCAAAGUUGGACUACUGAGGUGUGAUCACAACUUUUGUCCUUAUUGCUUUCUCUGCGGCCAUUGCACGAUUUCCUUUAGCAUCAUUUUCUUGGCUAAAUAAGCGUAUUAUAUUUGUGGCAGACCGUCCACGUGUCAUAAACAGAUAUAUUAUAAUAAUGUAGUAUGCUUUUCUCCAAUGGAACAUGACACUCUUCUAAGUCUUGUUUUAAAUAUUGUGCAGGAUUACUUUAUACGUUGCAGUUCCAAGUCAAAAUUGGUGGGCAAACGUUGGCCUUUUUUCAUUUCACCUAAGAUUAAUGCUCACCUGGGAUAGGCACUACAUGACUUAUCUGCUCUUUUACUGUAAAGUUGCUUUGUGUAUGAGAUACACCUCCCCUGCACACCCUCAACAUUCGUUGCUCUGUUUUCCUUGUGUCCAGACGAGGAUAUUAAUUGGAGGCUGACAAAACGACUGCUAGCCCAGGAUUUACAAGGUCCUGGUUUGAGGCUUCGGUGAAAGUAUUUUUGAAAAGACACACAUAGAGAUAGUGCGUUUGGUGCAAUGCAGCACUGUGAGCCAUUCUGACGCGUUCUUAAUUUCAAAACUAAUGAAUGCUUCAAAAUUUUAAGAAGUGACAUUUCCAAAUAUUUGAGUUCGUUUAAUUGAACAUUGGAUAACUAGUGAUCAUAGAUUAUUAUCUGUGCUUGGCACUAUAAGAGGGUAUAUGCUUCUUUUUCUGGCCCCUCCUUCAAGGGAGGAGGGACAAUGUGAUCUGUAACGUUAGAAGCUAUUCCAUGUCAUCUUUGGGCUCAGUUCAAAACUAAAAGAUAAUGGGGGGGGGGGGGGGGGGCAUAUCAUUUUAUAUUUCUUCUAGAAGGUUUGUUCUGGAAAUAUUUCACAGGAGCAUAUCUUUUUCUUCUAUUACGUCAUCCGCAGCCUCCAAUAGGUCGGUUAACAAGCCACCGAGUUGAAAAGUUGGAAAAAUGGGAACACAGCCCGCCUCUUGUAUUCAGUAGUUAAAUAAAAGGUCACUAGAAGUGAGAUCCCUUUUGGCGUCUUGAUUUUCAAUCCAGCACCUCUGUGACCUGACAAACCAAAAAAACUAAAAAAUAAAAAACAGUACGUGGGUUGGUGUUAAGCAUCAAGACAUGUUAAUGAAAGAAGGUAGAGAAUAGGAUAUUGAAAUCCCAAUCCUGAUAACAUGAUUUUCUUUGCUAACAACCAUAUUAUAUUUUAUCAAGAAAGAGUAAUGCAUGUGGCGUCCAUCAAGACCCAUUAGAGUUCCGCUAAAGCUAUAGUUCUGUCAACGUUAUCAUUUACGUUUCCUCUAGAUAAUGGCAUUUUCCUCUAAAGCUCUUGCACCAUUAGGCUUCAAGUCAAAAUUUCACAUGUGAACUUUGGAAAUUUUCUCCAUUUGCCCCUAAGGAUACAGUUAGAAUUGACUUAAAAUCCUGAUUGAUAUGUACUAUUAACCAAAGAAUAUUGUAUAUAAUAAUUGAAAUAUUGUUGAUUCAUCGUGGAAAUACAUUUUGUAAGGAAAGUUGUUGAGAAUUUAGUAUGCUAUAUGGAGAAAAAAGUCAUGACUUAAGGUUGUGUAUGUAUAUUCUAUAUCAAAUAUUAGGUAGGAAUGUGGGAAAGAGCAGAGUGUAAUGAUAAGAAACAAAGAAAUAUAAGAUAUUCUUGAAAGUGGAAAAUAUAAAAUGGCUAACGAGUCAAAUUUAUGAUGCGUAAGGGGGAUCAUGUCACAUAAGAAAACCAUGGCAUACUAAAGACGUACGUGUGGUAUGGAGUAAUAAUUUUGUUAAAAUAAGUUUCUUGUUGGAGUACAUUAGGUGACUAUUCAUAACGUAUCAAAUUAAAGAGUCAAGUGCAUCAAUGAAGGCAUAUGUAGAAAAUUUGUUUGUGACAUGUACCAUAAAGAUAAGAUUGACUUGAUAGAAUUUAGUCUAAGUAGGAGUUGUUAAAGGUGUCUUAAAUUUCUAAUUGAUGUAUAUUUUUUUCUAAAAAAAUAUUAUAUAGAUAUUUUAAUAAAUGAUUAAUUCUUUGUAAAAAUACUUACAUAAUAAAAAACAUCAUUAAAAAUAUCUUUAUAAAUAUUUUAAGUUACAAGAAGGAAAAAAACCACUGUGAGAUAAUGAUGAACAUGCAACACUGUACCAAGUAAAUAAAAAUGUGAUAAAAAAAAAAGAGAAACACUCGAUAAAGGAAGGCUCGUAUAUAAAGAGUAAUAUUUUUAAUCAUAUGAUAGAAUGAUUUUCUCUCAUUCAUGAAUAUAGGCAAGAUUGGGGAACCAUUAUAAAAUUUUGUACACCUCGUGUAAAUUGAUGUUUGUCUUCAUAUUUUACACCAACAAAUGACAUUGAAGUUGUCAUUGAUAAAAGGGAAAAGGCAUGCCUCCACACCAUGUGCUUGAUUCGAAUGGUUCAAGUUUGAAGAAUUUUCUCCGGAAGAUCUAAAACAUUUUCGCCUUUAAAUUUCAUUUGAUUAUUAAUAUCCGAAAAAAUAGUUAAAUACUCUUUCUAUUUUUGAGUUGUUGAAUUUUUUGAAAGUUUUUAUAUUUGUUAUCAAGAAUUUCUAUUUUAUUAAGGGUGAAUAUUUAUAAAUAAGAUAUUAUAUAAUAUUUGGAUAAGAGAGAAUGGUGGAAUAUAAUAAAGUUUUAAUCCUUCCCAAUUUUGAACCUUUUUUUUUUUUUUUGAUAUAAUCGCCUUUCUCUUGCAAUCCUAUUAUCAGGUACCUUAUAUUUGCUGAUGCUAUCUGGAACUAAAUUCCAAUCAGGCAUUGUCCAAUUACUAAUAGGACAGAUCAUAUCUCUCUGUUUCUAAACUAACAUGUAUCGUAAUGUGACCUCAUAAGGAAGGCUAGGAAGAUGGAGGAUUUUGUGGGAAGCGACCAGAAUCAGAUGGAAGAGAGAUAGCCCUGUUGACCUAAUGGCUGUAAUAGGAGAAGCGUGUGGUUUUAUGGGACUUAACUGAUACUAAACCUGUAUGAUGCUUGGAGUGGUGUUUCUUUCAUUUUGUUAAGAAAAUAUGGCAGCAUACAUGCUUUCAACUGAGUGCAUCAGAGCAUCCAUAACAGAUGGUCUGCAACCCUAGGUGCAUGCCACUUUCUGACUGAUAAUGAAAUUGUCAGGUACCUGGCCUUGACUAAGCUCAACAGCAUCACAUAAAGAGAAGCUUUCAUACUUAGAUUACUGUUUAAAGUUUUUGCUUAUUUGAUUUCUUAAUGCCAUUAUGACAUUAUUGAUUCAAUUCUGCUUCCGAUUUUCGAAGUUCUGGGCAUCUACUGAUUGCAUCAUUAUAUGAGAAGUUGCAUGAGUUUAUGUAUCCUGUUAUUGUUCCUUUGCGAUUUCACUGCUCACGGGACUAACCUCUCCAUUCAGUCGAAAUGAAUUGUAAUUUCUUUACUGGUAGCAGUAGUACUUUUCAUAGCAAAGAUAAUAGAAAAUAUGAAAUAUAAAUAGAAGGAAAUCUGGAUUGUAGAUAGCACCAUAAGUAACACUCAAUAUUCACUACAUAAUAAAUAGACAGUGUUACAUAGGUAGAGAAACCUACAAUGAGUACUCAUCACCAUUCUCAAACAGAAACAUAGCAGCGACUUAUACAUAGAACCUAUAGGCUCGCAGGGAAAGAGUAACAUGAUAAGUUCACAGCGGGUAGCAGCUCUUAUUUUACGUAUUACUCAAAAUCUCAAACUAACCAAAGUCACUCAGUUGGGAUGGGUAGGAGAUGGUGGUUUGUGGGGUGGCUUCUGGGUAGGAGCUGGUGGCUUCUUUGUUGGAGUUGAAGGAGGCAUAUUCUUCUGAGGUGGCUUGUAUGACUCUUCGGCACUCUCUGCAGGAGGGUGCCCAGGGUUGUGACCAGAAGGAGGUGGCUUCUGUCCCUUUGGUGGUUUGCCUAAUGGGCUUGGUGGCUUGUGCUCCGGGAGUUGUUUCUCUCCCUCGAGUAGGUUUCGAGUUUUGUCAGAUGGCUUGUGUUCUGGUGGUGGCUUCUCUCCCUGGGGUGGUUUGCCGAAUGGGCUUGGUGGCUUGUGUUCGGGGAGUGGCUUCUCUCCCUGGAGAAGGUUACGAGUUUUGUCAGAUGGCUUUUGUUCUGGUGGCGGCUUCUCUCCCUGGGGUGGUUUGCCAAAUGGGCUUGGUGGCUUGUGUUCGGGAACUGGCUUCUCUCCCUUGGGAGGUUCAUUUGGUGGCUGGUGUUCCGUAGGUGGUUCCUUCACCGGCGGCUUGUGCUCCGGAAGCGGCUUCUCUACCUGGAGAAGCUUACGAGUUUUGUCAGAUGGCUUGUGUUGUGGUGGUGGCUUCUCUCCCGGGGGUGGUUUGCCAAAUGGACUUGGUGGCUUGUGUUCGGGGAGUGGCUUCUCUCCAUGGGGAGGUUUAGUUGGUGGUUGGUGUUGCGUAGGUGGUUUCUGAAGUGGGGGAUGCUUGGGGUAGUCAGCAAUAGACGAGGUAGUGAGAACCACCAGUCCCAACAGCAACACUAGCAAGGAUGUUGAAGACAUCUUUGAGUUCAGGCUGAGAUCUGUGCAAGGAUAAAAGAUUUAGGUGGCCUUUUAUAGAGGGCUGGACCCAACACCCAUAUGACACGUGUCAUGCACUCAUGGUGACACAUAAUUCUAUGGGACCAUUUGGGUCCUACAGAAGUUGCAAAGUUGGACUAUUGAGGUGUGAUCACAACUUUUGUCCUACUUGCUUUCUCUGCGGCCAUUGCACGAUUUCCUUUAGCAUCAUUUUCUUGUCUAAAUAAGCGUAUUAUAUUUGUGGCAGACCGUCCACGUGUCAUAAACAGAUAUAUUAUAAUAAUGUAGUAUGCUUUUCUUCAACGGAACUUGACACUCUUCUAAGUCUUGUUUUAAAUACUGUGCAGGAUUACGUCAUAAGUUGCUUGUUCCAAGUCAAAAUUGGUGGGCAAACGUUGGCCUUUUUUCAUUUUCCCUAAUAUUAAUGCUCACCUGGGAUAGGCACUACAUGAUUUAUCUGCUCUUUUACUGUGAAGUUGCUUUGUGCAUGAGUUACACCUCCCCUGCACACCCUCAACAUUUGUUGCUCUGUUUUUCUUGUGUCCAGACGAGGAUAUUAAUUGGAGGCUGACAAAACGACUGCUAGCCAAGGAUUUACAAGGUCCUGGUUUGAGGCUUUCACGAAAGUAUUUUUGAAAAGAUACACAUAGAGAUUGCGCGUUCGGUGCAAUGCAACAAUGUGAGCCAUUCUGAAGUCUUAAAUUUCAGAUUAAUGAAUGCUACAAAAUUCUAAGAAGGGCCGUUUCCAAAUAUUUGAGUUCAUUCAUCCGAACAUCGGGUAUAUGCUUCUUUCUCUAGCCCCUCCUUGAAGGGAGGAGGGACAAUGUGAUCUGUAUCGUUAGAAGCUAUUCCAUGUCGUCAUCUUUGGGCUCAGUUCAAUACUAAAAGAUAUGGGCGGGGCCCUUAUCAUUUUAUAUUUCUUCUAGAAGGUUUAUUCUGGAAAUCUUUCACAGAAACAUAUCUUUUUCUUCUCUACGUGAUCCGUGGUUUGAAAGUUGGAAAAAUGGGUCCGUUAACAAGCCACCGAGUUGAAAAGUUGGAAAAAUGGCAACACCGCCAACCUCUUGUAUUCGAUAGUUAAAUAAAAGGUCACUGGAAGUGAGAUCCCUUUUGGCCUCUUGAUUUUCAUUCCAGCAUCUCUAUGGCCUGAUAAAUUAAAAAACUAAAAAAAAAGACAGUACGUGGGUUGGUGUUAAGCAUCAAGAGUCAAGACAUGAUAAUGGAGAGAAAGGAUAUUCAAAUUCCAGUUCUGACAACAUGAUUUUCUUUGCUGAACUACCAUAUUAUAUUUGAUCAAGAAAGAGUAGUGCAUGUGGCCAGGAUCAAGACAUACAUUAAUUUCCACAUGAUGAAGACAGUUUCUGAGAGUUUCUUCUAAAGCUCUUGCGCGAGUAGGCUUCAAGUCAAAAUCUCCCAUGUAAACACUGGUUUUUCUUUCAUUGCCACUAAGGAUGCAGUUAAUAUUGACUUAAGAUCCUACGUGAUAUAUUUUUUUAAAAGAGCUAUAUUGUAGAUAAUAUUUGAAAUAAUGUUGAUUCGUUGUGGAAAUAUAUUUGUAAGGAAAGUUGUUGACAAUUUAAUAUAGUAUAAGAAGAAAAAAGUUAUCAACUAGCUAGAGAUGAGUAUGUAAAGUGAGGCUCACGAUUCAACGCGUAAAUAUAAGAUAUUUUAAGGCUCAAUAGUUAUGAUAUCUAUUUUAUUUUUUGUAUCUCAUAUAUUCAAAGAUAUAGUAAAAUGAUUUUACAUAUAUAUAUAUAUAUAUAUAUGAACAUAACUAUUUGUGCCAAUUGAUUUUUAUCUUUAUUUUGUAUAUUAGUAAUUAUAUUAAAGUUUUUACUAAUAUAAUAACUAAUAUAAAAGCUUUUUCUAAAAGAGUCAACAGAGCAAAACACUUAUUAUAAAAAAUAAUUUUGAUUGAAGGUGGAGUCAAUUAUUCUUUAUUUAACAUGUAAUGCAUACGGCGUGUACUUCAUAACUAAAGUAUAUAAGUGUAACAUCUCUUAUAUAUUCUCAUUCAAUCUCGAAAGUGGAAAUUUUAAAAAGAUUAAACGGUUCAAAUUUGUCGUGCAUAAAGGGGAUCAUGUCACAUAAGCAAACCAUGGCAUACCAAAGACAUAGGUAUGGACUAAGAAUUUUUUUCAAAUAAGUUUCUUAUUAGGGUACAUUAAUAGGUGACUUUUUAUGACAUAUCAAAGGAGUCAAGUGCACCAAUAAAAACAUAUAUAGAAAAUUCAUGCAUGACAUGUAUCACUAAGAGAAGAUUGACUUGAUAGAGUUUAAUCCAAAUAGGAGAUUGUUAAAAGGUGUCUCAAAUUCUUGAUUGAUAUAUAUUUUUUUUAUUAAAAAGGUUAUUAUAUAGAUAUUUCAAUAGACUAUUAAUUCUUUGUAAAAAUAGUUAUAUAAUGAGGAUGGUGAUUAAAAAUAUCUCUAUCAAUAUUUUGGAUUAUAAAAAGAAAAAAAAUGAGAUAAUGAUAAACAUAUAAAACUUGUACAAGUAGAUAAAGAUGUGAUGAAAGACACUUGAUGAAUGAAGGCUUUGUAUUUCAAGAUAUAAAUAUAUGGAGCAAAACUCUUAAUUAUAUGAUCAAAUGAUUCUCUCAUAUUCAUGAAUAUAAGCAGGAUUGGGGAACCAUGAUAGAAUCUUAUAUGCCUCUCCAUGUAGAGUGAUCGAUGUUUAUCUUCAUAUUUUACACCAGUGAAUGACAUUGAAACUCUUAUUGAUAAAAGGGAAAAGGCAUGGCCUCCACCCCAAGAAAAACAAGUAACCUCGGUUUAAAUCACUAGUCUACACCCCGAAGAGAGAACUAGCCAAACCUACUAAAAGAGAAACUUAACAAUUUAGAAAGAAACCGUCCAUGAUAAAGGGCCCCUAAAGGUCCAAUUCAGUGAGGUCGUGAACAAAAACACUUUCAUGUCAAAACAGAGAUAGGUACCACCAAAAUGUAAAGGGAAAGAUGUAAACCACGUCGAACUUUGGUAAUCAAUGGUAAAGAUAGCAUGAUAGCUAAAAGCACUAAAGCUGUGCUUGGUAUGCAAAAAUGAAAAGUGGAAAUCAGCGUCUUAUUCUUUUUCACCUUUAUUCACAUAUUAGGAUAACUAAUAUCUAAUGUUUUUUAUGUCUCAAAUUCUAUUCCAUGUUAUGGUAAACUUUCAUCUUGUUUAGAUCACUUUUGUCUGGUUUGGGCUCAAGACGAUAAGCCUAUAGAGACUUCAUAUUGGGUUGAAUCGAUGCCCUUGAUCUGAUCUGUUCGUUAGAAAAAUCUGAAUUAUUAUAAGCAUUUAGAUAAAAAAUAAAUAAAUGUGAAACACAAACUACUCCCUGCACAACCUUGACCCUAGUUACUCAGUUUCACUGCUCACAGGACUAACCUCUCCAUUCAGUCGAAAUGAAUUGUAACAAGAAGAUUUUUGACAGGAGGACGGUAGUUUAAAAUAAUAAUUUCUAAAGUACUUUUGUGAAAAAAAAUAAUUCCAAACGUGGAUUUUAUCAAGUAAAAAGAAAAAAAAAAGUUAUUUUCUUUUAAAAUCUGUUCUUCUAAAGAUGAUAUAUAUACCAAAAAAAAAAAUUGUUUUCUGAAGGUAAAAUUUUUAAAAUUCAUUUUUAAAAAAAUUUACACACUAAAAUUAUCUUUUCAAGAGAAGAUUUUUUUAAUUUUAAAUAAUUAUUAAUUUAUAAUUAAUUUGUUAUUAAUUAUUUAUUAAUUUUUUUAUUUGAAAAAUGCAUUUAUAAAAAACAAAUUUGUUAUUAAUUUAUUAAAUAAUUUUUACAAAAUAAAUAAUUUUUUUUUAUUUUAAUUUUAAAAUUAAUUUUAUUAUAUAAAUUUUAAAAUUAAAAAUAUUAAUAUUUAAUUUAAAAUUUAACUAUAAAAGGAAUAAAAUAUAGAAAAAUAAAUUAAUUUAUUAUUCAAUAAAUUAAUUUUCAAUAAAAUUUUCAGCAUUAAGAGAUAAAUUUUUAAGUAUUAAUCAAUUUAAAAAGAAAUAAUGAUCAUUUGUAUAUUAAGAUAUUUUAUUUAGUAAUUAUGAAUGAUAAACAACUAAAGUAAUUUGAAAAAAUAAUAAAAUAUUUAAAAAAUAAUAAUUUAAUACACGUAAAAUUAGAAAUGAUUAACUAUUUUUUAUUAAGAAAAAAUUGAGGAAAUAUUUUGUUAUUUAAAAUUUUUUAUUUGUUUUCAAUUUUUAAUGUUAUAGGUUUCAAGAAAAUUGAUCAAAUAAAAAUUAAGAAGUCAUUUUUUCAAAAACUAUAUAUCUAAAUAAAAGCCUUGAAAUUCAAAUACACAAUAUCAUAAAUAUAAACACCAAGUCAAUCCUUAAUUAUCAAAUGUUUUUAAUAUUAAAGAAUCAAAAUCACCUACUAUCAUGAUAAUAAGAAAACCAAUAAUAUUGUUCAUAUAAAUACUAAAAAGCUAACAAAUAUCCCAAACAAUUAAUAAAGUAUCAAACAUGAUAAAAAGUCAAUUAUUAUCAUGAAUGCAAAAAAUCAAUAAUUUUGUUUAUAUGAACCAUCAACAAAGAAAAAAAAAAUCAAUAUCUAAAUAUUAAACAUAAUUUAUAUUUUUAUAAAUAUUAUUGUUGAUAAAUAUCUUAACAAUUAUAAUUUUAGUAAAUAAAAUUAAUUAAUUUUAGUUUAAGAAUUAUUUUUUUAUACUUUCGUAUUCUUAUCAAAAAUCCCCAUUUUGCAUGUCUCCUUUGGCAUGACUUUCUUACCUAAACAAGCAUAUAUAUAUAUAUAUAUAUAUAAAAUAUUUGGUUAAGAAAGAGUACUAAAGUUUAUAUGGCACACAUCAAGAUAGAAACAGAAGUGGAAGAUAAUCCAAAUGUAUGAACAGAUAUAUUAUAUCCAUGUAGUGGUAGUGACUUCAUUAUUUACUUUUAUCUAAUGGAGCAUGACACACUUCUUCUGAAUAUUUUGCACGAUUAUGUUAUGUGUCAGCUUGUUCUAAGUCAAAACUAGUGAUAAAAAUCGGUUUUUUUUGCAUUUCCUUCAUGAAGAUGGCACCUGGAUGGGGCACUACAUGAGUGGCAUAGCACGAAGUGAUUUAUCUGCUCCCUUUACUAUAAAGUGCUUUGUGUAUAAGUUACACCUCCCCUGCACUGCCUCAACAUUUGUUGUUCUGUCUUCCGUCUGUCCAAACGAGGACAAACGUAUGUUGUAGGUUGACAAAACCACAGCUAGCCUAGGAUUUGCAAGGAUCUAGUUUGAUUCGUAUGCAAAAGGAUUGGUGAAAAGAUUCACAAAGAUAAUGCUUUUUGCAAUGCAAUCUUGUUCUAAUUCAACAGUGUGGACCAUUUUCAUGUAAUGCUUCAACUAGAUGUCAGUUUCAUGAAUUUUUGUUCAUCUAAUUGAUCACUGGAUAGGCCAUAACCCGAAGAAAUUCAAAAUUCCCUUCAGUACUGUAGCUAAGGAAAGAUCCCUAUCUACCACUGGGAUUUUAAGAGGGUAAAAAUGUAGGUGGGUGCCUAUAUCAUUUGCACUUCACUAUAGGCCUCUUUGGGAAGAUUUCUUCUGAAGACAUUUCAAAGAAACAUAUUUUUCUCUUCUCUCCGUAAACGGCAGCUGCAAGUCAGUCCAUUCACAGGCCACCGAGUUGAAAAGGCUGGAAAAUUGGCCAAAGCACCCGCCUCCUGGAUUCCAUGGGUAAGGAAAAGGUCACUGGAGGUGUGAUCCCUGUUGGCCUCUUGAUUUCCAUUCCGCCAUCUAUAUGACCUGAUAACCCAAAAACACAGAAGGAAAACGUCACCUGGGUUCAUAGUAAGCAUCAAGUCAUGAUAGAGACCAGACAACAUGACCAACAAAGAGUAGCGAAUGGGGCCAACAUCAAGCCCCAUUACGGUUAGAAGAUGGAAGAAGUAGAAGACAAUCCAAUUCUGAUAGAUUCGGGCAAAUGUAGUGCUGUUCAAACUUAAUCAUUUACUAUUUCUUCAUGAAUCACGGCAUUUUUCUUCUGAAAAUUUUCCAAGAUUAGGCCUCUGAAGAAAAAUUUCAUAUGUAAAUUGGUAUAUUAAGGAAAAGGCGUUACAAAGGUGAAAAAAAACCAAUCAAAUCUUAUAUAUGACAUCUCAAAAAUAUGAACUUGCUAUAAAUAUUUAAAAUCAAAAUCUUGCACAUCACCUCGUAGUACGAACUUGCUAUAAAACUUGAAAAUCAAGAAGAAAGGGGCAGUAUUGGACGAGACUACUUAGCACAUAUUAUUAUGAUGUUUUUUCAUUUUCUUAAUGUUGUUUUUAUGUCUUAAAUUCUAUUAUUCUAUGUUACGGUAAACAUUCAUCUUGUUUGUGUGGAAUAGGAUCACUUUUCUCUGGGUUGAGUCGAUGCCCUUAGUUAAUUUGUUCAUUUGAAUAAACUAAAUUAUUAUAAGUAUUUAGAUAAGAAAAACGUGAUACAUAAAUUACGCCUCUCGGCACAACUUCAACACUGGUUACUCUGUUUCAGUUUCCUCACACAAGAUUAUUGGUUCUAGGGUUUAUUUGGUUUUGGUUUGAUUCUAAUUGCUAAACUUUCUCAAGGAAGAUGUUAUAUAGGGAGUGAGAAACCUUCACUCUUGGCUACCUCCAAGAGAAGAGCAAGUGGUCUGAAUCAAAGAUAUACUGCUCACUUUUUCUUCUUCUAAGGACAGCUAUGACCUUGCUUUAAGGUUCGAAUAGCCUAAUGCAACCUCCCAUUUCUCAAGUCAGCUGAUGAUGUAAGUCACCUUGGCUUUCCACAUUCAUACGGUGAGGACGUUUGUGGGUGUAAUUCUCUUAACAGUUUUCAUUUUAUAUGGAAAAAUUCAUAAUUAAGGGUAAUUACUGAUUCCAUUUGACAGUGACCAAGUUUAAAAUAUUAAUUCAUAUAUUAAAUGCACAUUAAAAAAUCAUGGAAUAAAUAUAUUUACUAAUAUAUAGUUCUUUUGCCAUGUUCUGUCACAGAAGCAUCGAACUUUCCCUAGAAAUUUUUGCAUGGUAUUCUACUUAUGAUUUUGAAAACUCUAGGCACCUGAGGCCACUAAUUGCAUGGUUGGAUGAGGAGCUGCAUGAGAUUAUGUAUCGUGUUGUUCCUUAACUACAAAUAUCAGUUUUAAGUAGCAUCUCCAUGUGACAUUUUCCUGAUGCAAUUUCGCUGUCCACCAACAAAUUUCACCAUGCAGCAAGAUGAAUUGUAAUUUCUUUAUUGUUAUCAACAGCUUUAAUUAAUCUUGAUAUAUAUAUAUAACUUAGUAGAAGUAUAUUAAUCUAGAUUGUAGUUGCACUAAGAUAAUAGGCAAUAUUAUAACAGUGCCACAAUGCUCAUCGCCAAAUAGAAAGGUAGAAAAACUACAAUGAGUAACUCACAACAUUCUCAAACAGGACAUAGCGGCGACUGAUACAUAGAACACUAUUGGCACUCAGGAAAUGAUAAGAUCAGUGCCCAGCAGGCAGCACGUCUUAUUUUACAUACUACUUAAAACUAACCAAAGUCAUUCAGUUGGGAUGGGUGGGAGAUGGUGGUUUGUGCGGUGGCUUUUGGGUAGUUGGUGGCUUCUUUCCUGGAACUGAUGGUUUUUUUGUUGGAGUUGAAGGAGGCUUAAUCGUCUGAGGUGGCUUGUAUGAGUCUUCAGCACUCUCUGCGGGAGGGUGCCCAGGGUUGUGACCAUAAUGGGGUGGCUUCUCUCCCUUAGUUGGUUUGCCAAGUGGGCUGGCUGGCUUGUGCUCCGGGAGCGGCUUCUCUCCCUUAGGUGGUUUGCCAAAUGGGCUUGCUGGCUUGUGCUCUGGGAGCGGCUUCUCUCCCUCAAGAAGUUUACGGGUUUUGUCAGAUGGCUUGUGUUCUGGUGGUGGCUUCUCUCCUUGGGGUGGUUUGCCAAAUGGACUUGGUGGCUUGUGUUCGGGGAGUGGCUCCUCUCCCUUGGGAGGUUUAGUUGGUGGCUGGUGUUCCAUAGGUGGUUUCUCAACCGGGGGCUUGUUCUCCGUUGGUGGUUUAUGAACUGGGGGAUGCUUGGGGUAGUCAGCAAGAGACGGGGUGGUGAGAACCACCAGUCCCAGCAGCAACACUAGCAAGUAUGUGGAAGAGUACAUCUUUGAGUUCAGGCUGAGAUUUGUGCGAGACUUGAAGAAUUAGGUGGCCUUUUAUAGCUGGCUGCACCCAACACUCACAUGACACGUAUCAUGGUGACACAUGUGCUAUGGGUCCAUUUGGGUCCUACAGAAGCUGAAAACUUUUGACUAUUGAGGUGUGGUCACAACUUUUGUCCCUAUUGCUUUCUCCGCAACCGUUUUACAUGUUUCCUUUGGCAUAAUUUUCUAAGCUAAACAAGCAUAUAUCAUAUUUGGUUAAGAAAGAGUAAAGUGUAUAUGGCACACAUCAAGGAAGAGAAACAGAAAAAGUGGGAGACAAUCAAUUGUGAUAAACAGAUAUAUUAUAUUCAUGUAGUACUAGUGACUUUAUCAUUUACUUUUAUCCAAUAGAUCAUCACUCUUUCUUCUAAAUAUUUUGGAGGAUAAUGGUACAUGUUGCUUGUUUCCAAGUCAAAAUUGGUGGCAAAAAUCGGCAUGAUACGAAAGGAUUGGUGAAAAGAUUCACAUAGAUGGUGCUUUGUGCAAUGCAGUCUUGCUCUAAUUCAACAGAGUGGACCAUGGUGAUGUAUUUUAAAUUUUAAAUUUUAAAUUAAUGCAUGCUUCAAAGUUUUAACUAGAUGUCACUUCCAUGGAUUUUUGUUCAUUUAAUUGAGCACAGGAUAGGCUAUCAAACUUGAAGUAAUAUAAAAAUCCCUUCAUUACUGUAACUAAUGAAAGAUCAUUAUCUGCGCUUGGUAUUUUGCCAAGGUAUUUGCUGCUCUUUCUAGCCCUGUCUUACAGUUAAGGACAAUGUGAUCUAGUUAACCUUAGAAGCUAUUCCAUGUCAGAUACAAGAGAUCAAGCACAUUAUCUUUGGGCUCAGUUCAAAACUAUAAUAUAUGGGUGGGGUGGAGGCCCAUAUCAUUUGCAUAUCACCACUAUUGGUUUAGUUUGGAAGGUUUCUUCUGGAAGAUUGCUGCUUUCUGGAAUCAUUUCAAAGAAAUAUAUCUUUUUGUUCUCUUGGUGACGAGCAGCGGCAAUCAAGUCUGUUGACAAACAACCGAGUUGAAAAGUUUGAAAAUUGGUCACAGCCCACGUCCAUGGUUAAGGAAAAGGUCACUGGAAGUGAUCCCUUCUGGGCCUCUUGAUUUCCAUUCUGACAUCUAUAUGACCUGAUAAAUAGAAAGAAAAAAAAACAGAAGAAAAGCGGCACCCGGGUUCAUAGUAAGCAUCAAGACAGGAUACUGAAAGAAGGGAGAAAGGAGAUUGCAAGUCCAAUCCUGAUAAAAUGAUCAACAAAGAGUAUCAAAAUGGGGCCAACAUAAAGACCCAUUGAGGUUAGCAGAUGGCAUGGCAUUUUUCUCCUUAAGUUUUCCAUGAUUAGACUUGAAGUCAAAAUUUCACAUGUAAAUUUGUAUUUCUACAUUUCCCACUGACGACACCCAACUUCAACUUGAGUUAGAAUAACAUUGUGUGAACUUAUCUGGCCCUCAAAAUUUACUGUGAAGUGCUUUCUGCGUGUGAAGAUUCAGAAAAGCACCAAGGGAACAUGUAUGGUCUGCCUUUUUCUGAUGUUAUGUUUGUCUCUAAUUCUGUUCCAUGUCAUGGUAAAUGUUCACAUUGCUUGUAUGGAACACACCAGGAUCACUUUUUCGGGUUUAUUUUGAGGCUUCAUAUUGGGUUCAUAUUGGGUUCAAUGCUUUUAAUGUGUUCAUUAGACAAAUCUGAAUUAUCAUAUGCAUUUAGAUAAGAACAAUAAUGUGAAACCCUAGUUACACCUCCCCUGCAUAACCCCAACCCUGCUUACUCUAUUUCAGUUUACUCACACAAGUUUUACCGGUUCUUAUAAGUCAAGAAAAGGCAACUGAUGUUGGAUUGACUCUCUUCCAUGUAUAAAAAGCAACUUUUAUAUAUACAUAAAAUAACUUCUUCCCCUCACCAAUGUGGGAUAUCAUGGAUUUAUUCUGGAAACACAUCAAAGGAACAUCUUUUCUCUUGGGUGACCCUAAGUGGUGAGUCAGACCAUUUGCAUGCCAUUGAGUUGCACAGUUGGAUAAAUGCACCUACCUCCUGGGCUCCAGAGUUAAAAGGGUGGAUCCCUGGAUCGCAACCCUCUUGGCAUCUUGGUUUCCAUUCCAACAUCCACAUGACUUGACAAAACAAAAAACAGAAUAAAAUCAUCACUAUUUUCAUGCUAAGCACCAAUACAUGAUGGAAAUCAUUGCUUAAAGAUUUGGGGUCAUUUAGGUUUUGACUGCCUCCUAACACCUCACCUAAUCACAAGUUUUUAUGCUUACAAAUCAAAUAUCGUUCUUCAUUAUAUUAAAAUCAUUUUAAGAUUUCAGAUCCAUCUGCUAAUUAUGAUUAUGAUAACAUUAAUUCACCUGUGCUUCUCAUUUUCGACACACAAGGCAUCUAGGUUUGCAGGAUUUCCUUAUUAGAUGAGAUAAAUGAGUACGCAUGGUUAUGUAUGCAGCAUUCAUUAACCAUGGUAUGUGACAUUUAGAAUUAAGAUAGCAAGCAAACUUUCCCUGCAGCUUGAGUAAAUUGUGAUUUCUUAGCCUCUAUGAGUGGUUCCCAAAUCAAAUUAACAUAGUGAAAUAUACGUAGUCCAGUGAAAGGAAAUGUAAAUUAUAAACUAACAGCACUACACUACUGGUAACACUCGAUACUCUCUAUAUAAUGCAAUGAAAUAUACGUUAUACGUUGCUUGUUCCAAGUCAAAAUUUGUGGCCAAACGUUGGCCUUUUUUCAUUUUCCCUAAGAUUAAUGCUCACCUGGGAUAGGCACUACAUGAUUUAUCUGCUCUUUUACUGUAAAGUUGCUUUGUGUAUGAGUUACACCUCCCCUGCACACCCUCAACAUUUGUUGCUCUGUUUUCCUUGUGUCCAGACGAGGAUAUUAAGUGGGGGCUGACAAAACGACUGCUAGCCAAGGAUUUACAAGGUCCUGGUUUGACGCUUCCGCGAAAGUAUUUUUGAAAAUAUACACAUAGAGAUUGCGCGUUCGGUGCAAUGCAACAAUGUGAGCCAUUCUGAAGUUUUUAAUUUCAGAUUAAUGAAUGCUACAAAAUUCUAAGAAGGGCCGUUUCCAAAUAUUUGAGUUCAUUUAUCCGAACAUCGGAUAAGUAAUGAUCAUAGAUUAUUAUUAUUAUCUGACGUUCUUAUAAUGGUUGGCAUUAUAAGAGGGUAUAUGCUUCUUUCUCUAGCCCCUCCUUCAAGGGAGGGACAAUGUGAUCUGUAUCGUUAGAAGCUAUUCCAUGUCGUCAUCUUUUGGCUUAAGUCAAUACUAAAAUAUAUGGGCGGGGCCCCUGUCAUUUUAUAUUUCUUCUAGAAGGUUUGUUCUGGAAAUCUUUCACCGAAACAUAUCUUUUUCUUCUCUACGUGAUCCGUGGUUGGAAAGUUAGAAAAAUGGGUCCGUUCACAAGCCACCGAGUUGAAAAGUUGGAAAAAUGGCAACACCGCCAACCUCUUGUAUUCGAUAGUUAAAUAAAAGGUCACUGGAAGUGAGAUCCCUUUUGGCCUCUUGAUUUUCAUCCCAGCAUCUCUAUGUCCUGAUAAACUAAAAAACUAAAAAAAAAACAGUACGUGGGUUGGUGUUAAGCAUCAAGAGUCAAGACAUGAUAAUGGAGAGAAAGGAUAUUCAAAUUCCAGUUCUGACAACAUGAUUUUCUUUCCUGAACAACCAUGUUAUAUUUGAUCAAGAAAGAGUAGUGCAUGUGGCCAGGAUCAAGACAUACAUUAAUUUCCACAUGAUGAAGACAGUUUCUGAGAGUUUCUUCUAAAGCUCUUGCGCUAGUAGGCUUCAAGUCAAAAUUUCCCAUGUAAACACUGGAUUUUCUUUAAUUGCCACUAAGGAUACAGUUAAAAUUGACUUAAAAUCCUACGUGAUAUAUAUCUUUAACAAAAGUAUAUUGUAUAUAAUAUUUGAAAUAAUGUUGAUUCGUUGUGGAAAUAUGUUUGUAAGGAAAGUUGUUGACAAUUUAAUAUAGUAUAAGAAGAAAAAAGUUAUCAACUAGAGAUGAGUAUGUAAAGUGAGGCUCACGAUUCAACGCGUAAAUAUAAGAUAUUUUAAGGCUCAAUAGUUAUGAUAUCUAUUUUAUUUUUUGUAUCCCAUAUAUUCAAAGAUACAGUAAAAUGAUUUUAUAUAUAUGAACAUAGCCGAUAGUAUCAUGUUAAAACCUUAUAUGACUCUUUGUGCCAAUUGAUUUUUAUCUUUAUUUUGUGUAUUAGUAAUUAGUAUUAAAGUUUUUACUAACAUAAUAAUUGAUAUAAAAGCUUUUUCCAAAAGAGUCAAACAGAGCAAAACACUUAUUAUAAAAAGAAUUUUGAUUGAAGGUGGAGUCAAUUAUUCUUUAUUCAACAUGUGAUGCAUACAGCGGGUACUUCAUAACUAAAGUAUAUAAGUGCAACAUCUCUUAUACAUUCUCAUUCAAUCUCGAAAGUGGAAAAUUUUAAAAGAUUAAAUGGUUCAAAUUUUCCGUGCAUAAAGGGGAUCAUGUCACAUAACCAAACCAUGGCAUACCAAAGCCAUGAUAUGGACUAAGAAUUUUGUUAAAAUAAGUUUCUUAUUAGGGCACAUUAUGUGACUAUUUAUGACAUAUCAAAGGAGUCAAGUGCAUCAAUAAAGACAUAGAAAAUUCAUGCAUCACAUGUACCACUAAGAGAAAAUUGACUUGAUAGAGUUUAGUCCAAAUAGGAGAUUGUUAAAAGGUGCAUCAAAUUCUUGAUUGAUAUAUAUUUUUUUUAUUAGAAAGGUUAUUAUAUAGAUAUUUCAAUAGACUAUUAAUCCUUUGUAAAAAUAGUUAUAUAAUGAGGAUGGUGAUUAAAAAUAUCUCUAUCAAUAUUUUGGAUUAUAAAAAGAAAAAAAAUAUGAGAAAAUGAUAAACAUAUAAAACUUGUACAAGUAGAUAGAGAUGUGAUGAAAGACACUUGAUGAAUGGAGGCCUUGUAUUUCAAGAUGUAAAUAUAUGGAGCAAAACUCUUAAUUAUAUGAUCAAAUGAUUCUCUCAUAUUCAUGAACAUAAGCAGGAUUGGGGAACCAUGAUAGAAUCUUAUAUGCCUCUCCAUGUAGAUUGAUCGAUGUUUAUCUUCAUAUUUUACACCAAUGAAUGACAUUGAAACUCUGAUUGAUAAAAGGGAAAAAGCAUGGCCUCCACCACAAGAAAAACAAGUAACCUCGGUCUAAAUCACUAGUCUACACCCCGAAGAGAGAACUAGCCAAACCUACUAAAAGAGAAACUUACCAAUUUAGAAAGAAAUCUUCCAUGAUAAAGGGCCCCUAAAAGUCCAAUUCAGUCAGGUUGUGAACAAAAACACCUUCAUGUCAAAACAGGAAUAGGUACCACCAAAAUGUAAAGGGAAAGAUGUAAACCAAGUCGAACUUUGGUAAACAAUGGUAAAGAUAGCAUGAUAGCUAAAAGCACUAAAGCUGUGCUUGGUAUGCAAAAAUGAAAAGUGGAAAUCAGCGUCUUAUUCUUUUUCUCCUUUAUUCACAUAUUAGGAUAACUAAUAUCUAAUGUUUUUUUUAUGUCUCAAAUUCUAUUCCAUGUUAUGGUAAACUUUCAUCUUGUUUAAGUGGAAGAGUAGGAUCACUUUUGUCUGGUUUGGGCUCAAGACGAUAAGCCUAUAGAGACUUCAUAUUGGGUUGAAUUGAUGCCCUUGAUCCGAUCAGUUCGUUAGAAAAAUCUGAAUUAUUAUAAGCAUUUAGAUAAAAUAAAUAAAUAAAUGUGAAACAGAGACUAUUCUCUGCACAACCUUGACCCUAGUUACUCAGUUUCACUGCUCACGGGACUAACCUCUCCAUUCAGUCGAAAUGAAUUGUAAUUUCUUUACUGGUAGCAGUAGUACUUUUCAUAGCAAAGAUAAUAGUAAAUAUGAAAUAUAAAUAUAUAGAAGGAAAUCUGGAUUGUAGAUAGCACCAUAAGUAACACUCAAUAUUUACUACAUAAUAAAAGAGAUAGUGUUACAAAGGUAGAGAAACCUACAAUGAGUACUCAUCACCAUUCUCAAACAGAAACAUAGCAGUGACUUAUACAUAGAACCUAUAGGCUCGCAGGGAAAGAGUAACAUGAUAAGUGCACAGCGGGUAGCAGCUCUUAUUUUACGUAUUACUCAAAAUCUCAAACUAACCAAAGUCACUCAGUUGGGAUGGGUAGGAGAUGGUGGUUUGUGGGGUGGCUUCUGGGUAGGAGCUGGUGGCUUCUUUGUUGGAGUUGAAGGAGGCGUAAUCUUCUGAGGUGGCUUGUAUGAGUCUUUGGCACUCUCUGCAGGAGGGUGCCCAGGGUUGUGACCGGAAGGAGGUGGCUUCUGUCCCUUUGGUGGUUUGCCUAAUGGGCUUGGUGGCUUGUGCUCCGGGAGUUGUUUCUCUCCCUCGAGUAGGUUUCGAGUUUUGUCAGAUGGCUUGUGUUCUGGUGGUGGCUUCUCUCCCUGGGGUGGUUUGCCGAAUGGGCUUGGUGGCUUGUGUUCGGGGAGUGGCUUCUCUCCCUUGGCAGGUUCAGUUGGUGGCUGGUGCUCCGUAGGUGGUUUCUUCACCGCCGGCUUCUCUCCCUGGAGAAGGUUACGAGUUUUGUCAGAUGGCUUCUGUUCUGGUGGCGGCUUCUCUCCCUGGGGUGGUUUGCCAAAUGGGCUUGGUGGCUUGUGUUCGGGAACUGGCUUCUCUCCCUUGGCAGGUUCAGUUAGUGGCUGGUGUUCCGUAGGUGGUUUCUUCACCGGCGGCUUGUGCUCCGGAAGCGGCUUCUCUACCUGGAGAAGCUUACGAGUUUUGUCAGAUGGCUUGUGUUGUGGUGGUGGCUUCUCUCCCUGGGGUGGUUUGCCAAAUGGACUUGGUGGCUUGUGUUCGGGGAGUGGCUUCUCUCCAUUGGGAGGUUUAGUUGGUGGUUGGUGUUCCGUAGGUGGUUUCUGAAGUGGGGGAUGCUUGGGGUAGUCAGCAAGAGACGAGGUAGUGAGAACCACCAGUCCCAGCAGCAAUACUAGCAAGGAUGUGGAAGACAUCUUUGAGUUCAGGCUGAGAUUUGUGCAAGGCUAGAAGAAUUAGGUGGCCUUUUAUAGCGGGCUGGACCCAACAACCAAAUGACACGUAUCAUGAUACACAUAUGUGUUAUAAGAUCCUUGUGGGUCCUACAGAAGUUGAAAACUUUGACAAUUGAGGUGUGAUUACAACUUUUGUCCCUAUUGCUUUCUCGUCAGCCGUUUUGCAAGAUUUUUGACAGGAGGACGGUAGUUUAAAAUAAUAAUUUCUAAAGUACUUUUGUGAAAAAAAAUAAUUCCAAACGUGGAUUUUAUCAAGUAAAAAAAACAAAAAAAAGUUAUUUUCUUUUAAAAUCUUUUCUUCAUGAUUCAUAUACCAAAAAAAGAAUUGUUUUCUGUAGGUAAAAUUUUUAAAAUUCAUUUUUAAAAAAAAAAAAUUACACACUAAAAUUAUCUCUUCAAGAAAAUAUUUUUUAAAUUUUAAAUAAUUAUUAAUUUAUAAUUAAUUUUUUAUUAAUUAUUUAUUAAAUUUAUAUGUGAAAAAUGCAUUUAUAAAAAACAAAUUUUUUAUUAAUUUAUUAAAUAAUUAUUUACAAAAUAAAUAAUUUUGCUUUAUUUUAAUUUUAAAAUUAAUUUUAUUAUAUAAAUUUUAAAAUUAAAAAUAUUAAUAUUUAAUUUAAAAUUUAACUAUAAAAGGAAUAAAAUAUAGAAAAAUAAAUUAAUUUAUUAUUCAAUAAAUUAAUUUUCAAUAAAAUUUUCAGCAUUAAGAGAUAAAUUUUUAAGUAUUAAUCAAUUUAAAAAAUAAUAAUAAUCAUUUGUAUACUAAGAUAUUUUAUUUAGUAAUUAUGAAUGAUAAACAACUAAAGUAAUUUGAAAAAAUAAUAAAAUAUUUAAAAAUAAUAAUUUAAUACACUUAAAAUUAGAAAUGAUUAACUAUUUUUUAUUAAGAAAAAAUUGAAGAAAUAUUUUGUUAUUUAAAAUUUUUUAUUUGUUUUCAAUUUUAAAUGUUAUAGGUUUCAAGAAAAUUGAUCAAAUAAAAAUUAAGAAGUCAUUUUUUCAAAAACUAUAUAUCUAAAUAAAAGCCUUGAAAUUCAAAUACACAAUAUCAUAAAUAUAAACACCAAGUCAAUCCUUAAUUAUCAAAUGUUUUUAAUAUUAAAGAAUCAAAAUCACCUACUAUCAUGAUAAUAAGAAAACCAAUAAUAUUGUUCAUAUAAAUACUAAAAAGCUAACAAAUAUCCCAAACAAUUAAUAAAGUAUCAAACAUGAUAAAAAGUCAAUUAUUAUCAUGAAUGCAAAAAAUCAAUAAUUUUGUUUAUAUGAACCAUCAACAAAGAAAAAAAAAAUCAAUAUCUAAAUAUUAAACAUAAUUUAUAUUUUUAUAAAUAUUAUUGUUGAUAAAUAUCUUAAUAAUUAUAAUUUUUUAUAUAUUAAAUUUAGUAAAUAAAAUUAAUUAAUUUUAUAAUAUAAGAUAUAUAUAAUAAUUAAGAGACUAUUUGUCCCAAACAAUUUAUUUAUUUUUUUUUUAGGAAAUUGUCUCUUCAAGAGACGACUUCUCCCAACAUUUUUAAAAAAAAAAAAAAAAACAUCUAUUCAAAAGACGAUUUCUCCUCAUUUUUUAAAAAUGAAUUUUAGAAAUCAUAUUUUCAAAAAUGAAUUUUAGAAAUCAUAUUUUCAAAAGACGAUUUUUUUUUAUAUAAAUUAUUUUUUAAAAUGACGAUUUUAAAAGGAAAUAACGAUCUCUCUCCUACUUGGCAAAAACUAUGGUAAAUUUGGAAUUAUUUCUUCCACAACCAUAGUUUAAGAAUUAUUUUUUUAUACUUUCGUAGACUUAUCAAAAAUCCCUAUUUUGCAUGUCUCAUUUGGCAUGACUUUCUUACCUAAACAAGCAUAUAUAUAUAUAUAUAUAUAUAUAUCACUUUUGUCUGGGUUGAGUCAAUGCCCUUAACUAAUUUGUUCAUUUGAAUAGUCUAAAUUAUUAUAAGCUUUUAGUUAAGAAAAAUGUGAAACAUAAAUUACACCUCUCGGCACAACUUCGACACUGGUUACUCUGUUUCAGUUUAUUCACACAAGAUUAUUGGUUCUAGGGUUUAUUUGGUUUUGGUUUGAUUCUAAUUGCUAAACUUUCUCAAGGAAGAUGUUAUAUAGGGAGUGAGAAACCUUCACUCCUGGCUACCUCCAAGAGAAGAGCAAGUGGUCUGAAUCAAAGAUAUACUGCUCACUUUUUCUUCUUCUAAGGACAGCUAUGACCUUGCUUUAAAAUGUUCGAAUAGCCUAAUGCAACCUCCCAUUUCUCAAGUCAGCUGAUGAUGUAAGUCACCUUGGCUUUCCACAUUCAUACGGUGAGGACGUUUGUGGGUGUAAUUCUCUUAACAGUUUUCAUUUUAUAUGGAAAAAUUCAUAAUUAAGGGUAAUUACUGAUUCCAUUUGACAGUGACCAAGUUUAAAAUAUUAACUCAUGUAUUAAAUGCACAUUAAAAAAUCAUGGAAUAAAUAUAUUUACUAAUAUAUAGUUCUUUUGUCAUGUUCUGUCACAGAAGCAUCGAACUUUCCCUAGAAAUUUUUGCAUGGUAUUCUGCUUAUGAUUUUGAAAACUCUAGGCACCUAAGGCCACUGAUUGCAUGGUUGGAUGAGGAGCUGCAUGAGAUUAUGUAUCCUGUUGCUCCUUAACUACAAAUAUCAGUUUUAAGUAGCAUCUCCAUGUGACAUUUUCCUGAUGCAAUUUCGCUGUCCACCAACAAAUGUCUCCAUGCAGCUAGAUGAAUUGUAAUUUCUUUGUUGUUAUCAACAGCUUUAAUUAAUCUUGAUAUAUAUAUAACUUAGUAGAAGUAAUUAAUCUAGAUUGUAGUUGCACUAAGAUAAUAGGCAAUAUUAUAACAGUGCCACAAUGCUCAUCGCCAAAUAGAAAGGUAGAAAAACUACAAUGAGUAACUCACACAACAUUCUCAAACAGGACAUAGCGGCGACUGAUACAUAGAACACUAUUGGCACUCAGGAAAUGAUAAGAUCAGUGCCCAGCAGGCAGCACGUCUUAUUUUACAUACUACUUAAAACUAACCAAAGUCAUUCAGUUGGGAUGGGUGGGAGAUGGUGGUUUGUGCGGUGGCUUCUUUCCUGGAACUGGUGGUUUUUUUGUUGGAGUUGAAGGAGGCUUAAUCGUCUGAGGUGGCUUGUAUGAGUCUUCAGCACUCUCUGCAAGAGGGUGCCCAGGGUUGUGACCAUAAUGAGGUGGCUUCUCUCCCUUAGGUGGUUUGCCAAGUGGGCUGGCUGGCUUGUGCUCCGGGAGCGGCUUCUCUCCCUUAGGUGGUUUGCCAAAUGGGCUUGCUGGCUUGUGCUCUGGGAGCGGCUUCUCUCCCCCAAGAAGUUUGCGGGUUUUGUCAGAUGGCUUGUGUUCUGGUGGUGGCUUCUCUCCUUGGGGUGGUUUGCCAAAUGGACUUGGUGGCUUGUGUUCGGGGAGUGGCUCCUCUCCCUUGGGAGGUUUAGUUGGUGGCUGGUGUUCCGUAGGUGGUUUCUCAACCGGGGGCUGGUGCUCCGUAGGUGGUUUAUGAACUGGGGGAUGCUUGGGGUAGUCAGCAAGAGACGGGGUGGUGAGAACCACCAGUCCCAGCAGCAACACUAGCAAGUAUGUGGAUGACAUCUUUGAGUUCAGGCUGAGAUUUGUGCAAGACUAGAAGAAUUAGGUGGCCUUUUAUAGCUGGCUGCACCCAACACUCACAUGACACGUAUCACGGUGACACAUGUGCUAUGGGAUCCAUUUGGGUCCUACAGAAGUUGAAAACUUUUGACUAUUGAGGUGUGAUCACAACUUUUGUCCCUAUUGCUUUCUCCGCAACCGUUUUACAUGUUUCCUUUGUGGUGUUUAAUAGUGUUUUUUUCCUUAAUUCUAAAUAAACCUUAAUACUUAAUAAUGUUAAAUAUUAGGUUAUUUAUUUUUAUAAUAUUUUAUUUAUAUUAAGUAUUAAAAAGUAAAGAAAAAUCAAUAUAUUUAUUUUUCUAUUUAGAAAAAACUAUAUAUUUUUAAUUUUUUUAUUUAAUAAAAAAUUUAUAAUAAAUCAUGAAAAAAUAGAAAAACAAACAACCUAAAUUUUAAAAAUAAAUUGUUUUUAGUAAAAACCCAAAAAAACAAACACCACCUUAACUAAACAAAUAUAUAUUAUAUUUAGUUAAGAAAGAGUAAAGUGUAUAUGGCUCAAAUCAAGGAAGAGAAACAGAAUAAGUGGAAGACAAUCAAUUGUGAUAAACAGAUAUAUUACAUGCAUGUAGUACUAGUGACUUUAUCAUUUACUUUUAUACAAUAGAUCAUCACACUCUUUCUUCUAAAUAUUUUGGAGGAUAAUGGUACAUGUUGCUUGUUGCCAAGUCAAAAUUGGUGGCAAAAAUCGGCAUGAUACGAAAGGAUUGGUGAAAAGAUUCACAUAGAUGGUGCUUUGUGCAAUGCAGUCUUGCUCUAAUUCAACAGAGUGGACCAUGGUGAUGUAUUUUAAAUUUUAAAUUUUAAAUUAAUGCAUGCUUCAAAGUUUUAACUAGAUGUCACUUCCAUGGAUUUUUGUUCAUUUAAUUGAGAACAGGAUAGGCUAUCAAACUUGAAGUAAUAUAAAAAUCCCUUCAUUACUGUAACUAAUGAAAGAUCAUUAUCUGCGCUUGGUAUUUUGCCAAGGUAUUUGCUGCUCUUUCUAGCCCUAUCUUACAGUUAAGGACAAUGUGAUCUAGUUAACCUUAGAAGCUAUUCCAUGUCAUAUACAAGAGAUCAAGCACAUUAUCUUUGGGCUCAGUUCAAAACUAUAAUAUAUGGGUGGGGUGGGGGCCUAUACCAUUUGCAUAUCACCACUAUUGGUUUAGUUUGGAAGGUUUCUUCUGGAAGAUUGCUUUCUGGAAACAUUUCAAAGAAAUAUAUCUUUUUGUUCUCUUGGUGACGAGCAGCGGCAAUCAAGUCUGUUGACAAACAACCGAGUUGAAAAGUUUGAAAAUUGGUCACAGCCCACGUCCAUGGUUAAGGAAAAGGUCACUGGAAGUGAUCCCUUCUGGGCCUGUUGGAAGCAGGGGAGGUUAACACACCAAGCAACAAAGAACAGAGAUAUGCUGCUACUGAUCUAUAUUUUUUAUUUGAUCAUAAGGCUAAAUUUAUACAGAUUGUGUAACAGAUAUGACCUCAAAAAAAAGCAUCAAAUCAAGCUACUUGUUGAACAAACAACUACCUUCUACAAAAUAACAUCAAAAUUUAACUUAAAAGCAAAAACAUAAAAAUAGCAACAGCAAAAAUAGAAACAUAAAAAUAGCUUCAGCAUUCUAGUAAUCUCGUUGACUUCAAUUGCAUGUGGUUGACGAUUUCAGCCUUUUCCUCAGCAGCUACUAAGGCAUAACUCUCAACACUCCUCCUUGACUUAGGAGGUGCAAACUCCAAGUCUUUCUCAUAGAAACUCAAAUCUUAUUUUAGGAAGAGCUUUAGUCAGAAUAUCUACAUUUUGACUGUCUGUAUUGCAGUAGACUAGUUGUAUAUCUCCUUCUUUCUGUACUUCCCUCAAAAAUUACAAUUUAAUCUUGAAGUGCUUUGUUUUACCAUGAAAAACUGGAUCAUUUGCAAUAGAUAUAGUGGCCUGGUUGUCUACAAACACCUUUGUACUCACUUCUUGCUUCAUAUCCAAAUCUGUCAGCAACUUUCCAAGCCAUAAGGCUUGAUUUACAGCUGUAACAGCAGCAAUAUACUCUGCCUCAGCUGUGGAUUGAGCCACGACUUCUUGCUUCCUUGAACUCCAUGAAAAAACACCAGAACCAAAACUAAAACAAUAGCCUGAAGUACUUCUCAUAUCGUCAACACAACCAGCCCAAUCACUAUCAGAAAAUCCAUGAAAAUUGAAACUUUGAACUUGACUGAACUUAAUGCCAUAAUCCACAGUGCCUUUAACAUUUCUUAUCACACGCUUUGCUGCCUGGAAAUGAAUUUCACUAGCACAAUGCAUGUAUCUCGAAAGUAGACUUACAGCAUGCAUUAUAUCGAGUCUUGUUGCAGUCAAGUACAUUAAGCAUCCAAUCAUGCUUCGAUAAAGUCCUUCAUCUACCUUUUUAGCACCGUCCUCCUUACAGAACUUCUCUUUCUGGUUCAUAGGGGUAGAUGUAGGUUUGCAUUCCUCCAUUUUGAAUUUCUUCAUAAUUUCUUUGGCAUAUUUUUGUUGGCAGAUGAAAAUCUCAUUCUGCUUCUGGUGUACUUCCAUUCCCAAGAAGUAAGACAUCUCAUCUAGGUCUGUCAUCUCAAAAACCUGCUCCAUUUCAGCCUUGAAUUUGUUCACAAACCCUGCAUUACUUCCUGUUACAAGCAAAUCAUCAACAUAUAGAGAAACAAUUAAUAUAUCUUCUUCAAUCUUCUUAAUGUAGAGUGUAAAUUCACUCAAGCUCUUGUGAAAGCCUAAAGUUAGCAGGUGAGUGUCAAUCCUGCUGUACCAAGCUCUAGGGGCUUGUCUUAACCCAUACAAGGCCUUCUUAAGAAGGUAUACUUUUUCUUCUUUUCCUUUGAUAGCAAAACCUUCUGGUUGUUCGACAAAAAUCUCUUCCUCUAAGUAGCCAUUCAAAAAUGCUGACUUCACAUCUAGUUGAUAAAUCUUCCAUUUUCUUUGAGCUACAAGAGCCAACAACAUCCUGAUUGUAUCCAAACGAGCUACUGGUGCAAAGGUUUCCGAAAAGUCAACACCAAACAUUUGUGCAUACCCUUUGACAACCAGCCUUGCUUUAUGUUUGUUUAUAGAACCAUCAGAGUUGAGUUUGGUUCUGUAAACCCACUUAACCCCAAUAGGUUUUUUGUGUGAAGGUCUAUCUACUAGCUCCCAAGUGUUGUUCUUGUCAAUCAUAUCUAGCUCCUCCUGCAUUGCAACCCUCCAUCUUUUAUUUUCAGCAGCUUCAACAAACCCUGCAAGUUCAAGAACAGCUAUAUUACACCUUUGAUAAAUAUCAAAAAGUGUCAUGAAACCUCUAACUGGAAGUUCAUCAACAUCUUCAUCAAUAUAUUGCUGAUUCUGCUCAUCCCAACUCCAUUUCUCCGUUUCCAAAAACUUAACAUCUCUACUUACCACAAUUUUACUAUUUUGUGGCAAGUAGAUUCUGUAAGCUUUUGAGGUGCUGUUGUAUCCAAUGAAAAUUCCUGGUUCUGACUUUUUAUCUAGCUUGUCUCUUUUCACCUGAGGAACAUAAGAGAAACACAAGCAACCAAAGGUCUUUAAAUUCAUUAGCAUAGGCUUAUAAGCAAACCAGGCCUCAAAAGGUGUCUGUUUCUGCAAUGCUUUUGUUGGUAGUCUAUUUAGCAAAAAUACUACUGUAUUUGCAGCUUCAACCCAAAAACUUUUUGGCAGCUCUUUCUCAUGCAAAAGACAUCUUGUCAUUGAUUACUACUCAAAAAGUGCUAUUUGAUAGCCUUUAAUUAAUCCUUUUUAACACUUUUGAGUAGUAGUUUAGGCCUUUUAACUCAAUUGGCAUGUUAAGGAUCCUUUAAAGCAAUUUUGAUCACUUUGUGCAAGUUUUGGUGUUUUUGUUAGUAUUUCGAUCACCAAAGCAAGUCAAGAAUGAGGAGAGCUAUGAGGAAUCUUGGGCAAAGCUUAGAAUUCAAUUGCCAAGAGUGAAUCCGGAUUGCAAGGAGAAAAAGCAAAGAGGAUCAGUCAUGGAGCAUAUUCUUGAUGACAGUCGUAGCAGCCACUUUUGGAUCACUUUCUGAAGUCCAAAUGAUGCAAGCUAUAUACCAUUUCAAAGCUCAGGAAGUCAACAAUCCAAUGCUUCAAACGGUGUGCGAUUCGGAAUUGAAACGAAGAAGUUGCAGCCAUUACAAGCCAGACACUCUAAAGUGUUGCGGAAUCAGCCAUGUGUUGCGAGAAUUUCGCAGCACUUUUGUACAGUAAGGUGUUUCUCCUUCUAACGAUGCACGAACCAUGCCGCGAGAAGGGAGCUGGAAACUUCAAGAUGGAAGCCAACUUUGCAGCCUAGUGAAGAUAGCUCGGUCUUGCAAGAUAAUUUCGCAGCCCUCUUGGGUGUCUGCGAAAUUUCGCAGGCCUCAUUUUUCACCUGCGAAAUGGCUCUUGAAGCCUCCCGAAGCUUGCUACCGACAUUGGGAGAUAUUUUCCAUUAGAUUUUUGUUGUCUAAAUCCCAAAAUACUCCUUGUAAACCACCAAUUACAUGAUUCCUUAGUUUUUAAGUUAGUAAAAAGACCAAAUAUCUUUGUAACAAUUAGUUUUAUAUUUUGUUGUUAUAAAUACCUCUCGGGAGCCUGUUCUCAGGGAGGAGUUCCUUCUGUAAACGUUUGGUAAGCAAGUAAAGUCUAUUUUCUUUCUACUGCCUUACCUUCUCACUUUGUAUUUUCAUUUUAUUUCUAAGUUAUGAAUUCUCUGAGGAGUUUUCCCCAAAGAAUGAGUAACUAAACCUCCAAUUCCUUGGAGCUAAGGUUGCCGGGGAAGGUUCCAAGUGCAAGAAUGCAAAGCUCUGUGGUUUUAGCUAGUAAUGAAGAGGAAGUGAAAUCCUUUAGUGAUUUCAAUGUUUUUAGUUAACUUAAAACACUUUGGAGUCACCUGGGCCAACACUUGGUAAGGCAAGUGAUUUCCAACCAUGGAAAUGCACUAGUUUACCCCUUGCGAGCCUCUGGUAGGUGACUUCAAGGUAGGAUUUUCUGGAAUUACCAACACUUGGUAAGCUUUUGGACUCCUAGGAGACAUCCAUUAGUUAUCUCUUGCGAGUUUGUGAAGGGAAUCCAAGGUUAAAGAUCACCUUGAAUGGUAAGUGCUCGUGAGAGGCAUGAACCAUUGCAAGUUGUAUCAGUGAGAGAAUUAAAGUGAAAUCUAAUUGAAGGAGUCUUUGUACAUCACCGGUUAGAGAAUUGACUAUAAGUUGAAUCUCUAAUGCGAGGAAAUGAACCAACUGACCAGAGCCGUGUCUUUUGCAUGAGGAACCACCCCAGUGAACCUAAAUCUCCAAGGAAUGUUUUUUUCUUCCUAAAUUAUUCCAAACUUCUGUUAAGUUAGUUAGUUUAAAUCUCAACCUUUACAAAUCAAAGUUUGUGUUUUAUUCCUUAAGCUAACCGUGAAAUGAAACAAGACCAAUUCACUUGGAAUUGGUAUCAUUGAUUGCCUGCAAAUCAUUCCCAGUGAACGAUCCUAGAGCCACUAUACUAUAGUAGCUUUGUAUUUGCUACCCUAGUGUAUGGUGUUAUAGGUAUAAAUUUUGUUGAUCACUUCCUCAAUCAAGGAGCACCAGCUGAACACAAAUCAGCUGAGACACCAAUUAGGCAUGAGUCAAAUGGCGCCGUUGCCGGGGAAUGAAUGUCAAGUUCAUUGUGAUACCAUUGUUGAGCACUUGUGAUUUUCAUCACAAGUUGGUAAAGUUUCUUUCACUUUACUAAUUUUCAUUCUUUCUUUGUUUAUUUACAAUCUAAGUUUAUCUUUUUAAAUUUUAGUCUAGUUUAAUUUUGUUGUUGUAGCCCUGUUUUUCUUGUUGUCCUCUGUUUUCAUUUUUUUUUUCAGGUAGAUACUAGUUGUGUAUGCCCAAGUGGAUACGAGACAUAGGAGGUAGGCUUGUUAAGUGUGAUACACCUCAGAAAGGAGAAUUUGAAGUAAUCUUGAAUAUCAUGGAGGCUGCACCUGAAGAUCAGCAUAGUCACCAAGGUCGUCAAGACAAUCUCAAUGAAUUCAGAUCAAUGAGGGACCGUAUGCAUCCACCUCGUAUGAGUACACCAUCAUGUAUAGUGCCCCCUACAGAGCAGCUAGUGAUCAGACCAUAUCUUGUUCCACUUCUACCAACUUUCCAUGGGAUGGAAAGUGAGAAUCCGUAUGCACACAUCAAGGAAUUUGAAGAUGUUUGUAAUACAUUCCAAGAAGGAGGAGCUUCAAUUGACUUGAUGAGGCUUAAGUUAUUUCCUUUUACUUUAAAGGAUAAGGCCAAAAUUUGGCUUAAUUCUUUAAGGCCAAGGAGUAUCCGCUCUUGGACUGAUUUACAAGCUGAGUUCCUUAAGAAAUUUUUUCCUACUCAUAGAACAAAUGGCUUGAAAAGGCAAAUUUCAAACUUCUCAGCUAAAGAGAAUGAGAAAUUCUAUGAGUGUUGGGAAAGAUACAUGGAAGCUAUAAAUGCUUGUCCUCACCAUGGCUUUGAUACUUGGCUAUUGGUGAGCUAUUUUUAUGAUGGUAUGUCCUCCUCAAUGAAGCAACUCCUCGAGACAAUGUGUGGAGGAGAUUUCAUGAGCAAAAAUCCAGAGGAAGCUAUGGAUUUCUUGAGCUAUGUAGCUGAUGUUUCAAGGGGAUGGGAUGAACCAACUAAAGGAGAAGUGGGAAAGAUGAAGUCUCAGUUGAAUGCUUACAAUGCAAAGGCUGGGAUGUAUAAUUUGAAAGAAGAUGAUGACAUGAAAGCAAAGUUGGCAGCUAUGACAAGAAGAUUGGAGGAGCUGGAGCUGAAAAGAAUGCAUGAAGUGCAAGCUGUUGCUGAAGCACCAGUGCAAGUGAAGCUGUGUCCCAAUUGUCAAUCAUUUGAACAUUUGGUGGAGGAGUGCCCUGCAAUUUCAGUUGAAAGGGAAAUGUAUAGAGAUCAAGCAAAUGUUGUUGGACAAUUUAGGCCCAAUAACAAUGCUCCUUAUGGAAAUACCUACAAUUCAAGUUGGAGGAAUCAUCCAAAUUUCUCAUAGAAGGCCAGAGCAACUCAAUACCAACAGCCGGAUCCACCAUCUCAGCAAUCUUCAAGUAUUGAACAAAUAAUAGCCAAUCUCAGCAAGGUAGUGGGAGAUUUUGUGGGAAAGCAAGAAGCCACCAAUGCUCGAGUUGAUCAAAGAAUGGAUAGAAUGGAGAGUGUGUUGAACAAAAGAAUGGAUGGAAUGCAAAAUGAUAUGAACCAAAAGUUUGAUAACAUCCAAUAUUCAAUUUCAAGGCUUACAAAUUUGAAUACACUGCAAGAAAAAGGAAGAUUUCCUUCUCAACCUAACCAAAAUCCCAAAGGUGUCCAUGAAGUGGAAAGCCAUGAGGGAGAAUCAUCACAGGUGAAAGAUGUGAAAGCUUUGAUCACUCUAAGGAGUGGUAAGAAAAUUGAGCAGCCAACACCCAUGCCACAUGUUGAGAAAGAAGAAGGGAUAAAGAAAGGAAAGGAAAUAGAAGAUAAAGACAGUGAGAUCAGUGAAGAAAAGAAGGACUCUGAUUCAACAAUCAAAGCAAUUCCAGAGAAAGAGCUUCUGAAGGAAGAAAUGCUGAAGAAAUCAACUUUUCCACCUUUUCCUCAAGCAUUACAGGGGAAAAAGGGGGUUAGAAAUGCAGCUGAAAUCCUUGAAGUCUUAAGACAAGUAAAAGUUAAUAUUCCACUGCUGGAUAUGAUCAAACAAGUUCCAACGUAUGCAAAAUUCCUAAAGGACUUGUGUACUAUCAAAAGAGGGGUUGACUGUAAACAAGAAAGCCUUCUUGACUGAGCAAGUAAGUGCAAUCUUACAAUGCAAGUCUCCUUUGAAGUACAAAGACCCUGGAAGUCCUACCAUUUCAGUCAUGAUUGGAGGAAAGGUAGUGGAGAAAGCCUUGCUAGACUUGGGAGCAAGUGUGAAUUUGCUUCCAUACUCUGUCUACAAGCAACUGGGACUUGGAGAGUUGAAGCCAACAGCAAUCACUUUAUCUUUGGCAGAUAGAUCAGUGAAAAUUCCAAGAGGAGUAAUUGAGGAUGUAUUGGUUCAAGUGGAUAAUUUCUACUAUCCAGUAGAUUUUGUUGUUCUUGAUACUGAUCCAACUGUAAAGGAAGCUAAUUUAGUUCCUAUCAUCCUUGGAAGGCCAUUUCUUGCAACUUCAAAUGCAAUCAUCAACUGUAGAAAUGGGCUUAUGCAACUCACUUUUGGUAACAUGACACUGGAUCUCAAUAUUUUCUAUAUGUCUAAAAAGCAAAUCACUCCUGAGGAAGAAGAAGGUCCAGAAGAGCUAUGUAUUAUUGAUACUUUGGUGGAGGAGCACUGCAAUCAGCAUAUGCAAGAUAAGUUGAAUGAAAGUCUUGUGGAUAUUGAGGAAGGUUUUUCUGAAUCUCCUAUUGGGCUUGCUACUCUACAAAGUUGGAGAAAGAUAGAAGGAAUUCUACCUUUGUUCAAUGAAAAAGAGGAGGCAACUGUUGAAGAAGAAAUUCCAAAACUCAAUUUGAAGCCUUUACCUGUGGAGCUGAAAUAUACAUAUCUUGAAGCAAAUAAUCAAUGUCCUGUUGUGAUAUCCUCAUCUCUGACCAGUCAUCAAGAGAAUUGUUUAAUGGAAGUUCUCAUGAGGUGUAAGAAGGCAAUAGGAUGGCAAAUAUCUGACUUGAAAGGCAUUAGUCCUUUAGUUUGUACUCAUCAUAUAUAUAUGGAGGAGGAAGCAAAGCCAAUUCGUCAAUUUCAAAGAAGGUUGAAUCCUCAUCUACAAGAGGUGGUGCGAGCUGAGGUGCUGAAGCUACUUCAAGCAGGAAUCAUUUACCCUAUUUCUGAUAGCCCUUGGGUGAGUCCUACUCAAGUGGUACCAAAGAAGUCAGGGAUCACAGUGAUUCAAAAUGAAAAAGGGGAAGAAAUUACUACACGCCUCACUUCAGGUUGGAGGGUGUGUAUUGAUUAUAGAAAGCUGAAUGCUGUCACCAGGAAGGAUCAUUUUCCAUUGCCAUUUAUUGAUCAAGUGCUGGAGAGAGUCUCUGGACAUCCAUUUUAUUGUUUCUUGGAUGGGUAUUCAGGCUAUUUUCAAAUUGAAAUUGAUUUGGCAGAUCAGGAAAAGACCACUUUUACAUGUCCAUUUGGAACAUUUGCUUAUAGAAGAAUGCCUUUUGGUUUAUGCAAUGCACCUGCUACAUUUCAAAGAUGUAUGUUGAGUAUUUUCAGUGAUAUGGUGGAGAGAAUUAUGGAGGUUUUCAUGGAUGACAUCACCGUAUAUGGAGGUACAUUUGAGGAGUGCUUGGUUAAUUUGGAAGCAGUUCUUCAUAGAUGCAUUGAAAAAGAUUUGGUGCUGAACUGGGAGAAAUGCCAUUUUAUGGUACGUCAAGGAAUUGUCCUUGGCCAUAUCAUCUCUGAAAGAGGCAUUGAAGUUGAUAAAGCAAAGGUGGAGCUUAUUGCCAAAUUACCAUCUCCAACAACUGUGAAAGGAGUAAGACAGUUCCUUGGCCAUGCAGGGUUCUAUAGGAGGUUUAUAAAAGGUUUUUCAAGUCUUUCAAAACCUCUUUGUGAGCUGUUAGCUAAGGAUGCUAAGUUUAUAUGGGAUGAAAGGUGUCAGCAUAGCUUUGAUCAACUGAAGAAGUUUUUAACAACAACUCCAAUAGUGAGAGCCCCUAACUGGCAAUUACCUUUUGAACUGAUGUGUGAUGCCAGUGACUUUGCUAUAGGAGCUGUGCUUGGCCAAAGAGAAGAUGGGAAGCCCUAUGUGAUUUACUAUGCAAGUAAAACACUAAAUGAAGCUCAGAGGAACUACACAACUACAGAGAAAGAAUUGUUAGCUGUGGUAUUUGCUUUGGACAAAUUUCGAGCUUAUUUAGUGGGGUCUUUCAUCAUUGUCUUCACUGACCAUUCAGCCUUGAAGUAUUUAUUGACAAAGCAAGAUGCAAAAGCAAGGUUGAUUAGAUGGAUUCUAUUGUUACAAGAGUUCGAUCUUCAAAUCAAAGAUAAGAAAGGAGUGGAGAAUGUAGUAGCUGACCACUUGUCAAGGUUAGUUAUAGCACAUAAUUCCCAUCCCUUGCCUAUCAAUGAUGAUUUUCCUGAAGAAUCACUCAUGUUCCUAGUGAAAACUCCUUGGUAUGCUCAUAUUGCUAAUUAUUUAGUAACUGGGGAAAUUCCAAGUGAGUGGAAUGCACAGGACAGGAAGCACUUCUUUGCCAAAAUUCAUGCUUAUUAUUGGGAAGAGCCCUUUCUCUUUAAGUAUUGUGCAGAUCAGAUUAUUAGGAAGUGUGUCCCUGAAGAUGAGCAGCAAGGGAUUCUAUCUCAGUGUCAUGAGAAUGCAUGUGGAGGCCACUUUGCCUCUCAGAAAACAGCCAUGAAGGUAUUACAAUCAGGGUUUACUUGGCCAUCUCUUUUCAAAGAUGCCCACAUCAUGUGUAGAAAUUGUGAUAGAUGCCAAAGGCUUGGAAAGCUAACAAAAAGAAAUCAAAUGCCUAUGAACCCCAUUCUGAUAGUUGAGAUAUUUGAUGUUUAGGGCAUUGACUUCAUGGGACCUUUCCCAAUGUCUUUUGGUAAUUCUUACAUUUUGGUGGGGGUAAAUUAUGUUUCUAAAUGGGUUGAGGCAAUCCCCUGUAAGCAAAAUGAUCACAGGGUGGUUCUCAAGUUUCUUAAAGAGAACAUUUUCUCAAGAUUUGGGGUGCCCAAGGCCAUAAUCAGUGAUGGAGGAGCUCAUUUUUGCAACAAACCUUUUGAAGCUCUGUUAUCCAAGUAUGGAGUGAAGCAUAAGGUAGCCACACCUUAUCAUCCUCAGACAUCCGGGCAAGUUGAGCUAGCUAACAGGGAAAUAAAGAACAUUUUGAUGAAAGUGGUGAAUUCCAACAGAAAAGAUUGGUCUAUUAGGCUUCAUGAUUCAUUGUGGGCAUAUAGAACAGCUUAUAAAACUAUUCUUGGGAUGUCUCCCUAUCGUCUUGUCUAUGGCAAAGCAUGCCAUCUCCCUGUGGAAGUUGAAUACAAAGCUUGGUGGGCAAUAAAGAAGCUGAAUAUGGACUUGAUCAAGGCCGGAGAAAAGAGAUUUCUAGACCUUAAUGAGAUGGAGGAAUUAAGAAAUAAUGCUUAUAUCAAUUCCAAAGUUGCAAAACAGAGGAUGAAGAAGUGGCAUGAUCAACUCAUCUCCAACAAGGAAUUUCAGGAAGGGCAAAAAGUUUUGAUGUAUGACACAAGACUCCAUAUCUUUCCUGGGAAGCUCAAAUCAAGGUGGAUUGGUCCAUUUGUUAUUCACCGAGUAUAUUCCAAUGGAGUGGUGGACUUAUUGAAUUCCAAUGGCAAGGAUAGCUUUAAAGUCAAUGGAUAUCGUCUCAAGCCGUUCAUGGAGUCAUUCAAAUCAGAAAAGGAGGCAAUCAACCUCCUUGAACCUCAAAAAGCCUAAGUGAAAAGGGUUUGCUGGACGUGGCUUUACCACAGUCCAAAAUUUUUGUAAAUUUUGUAAAUUUUCAAGUUGUUUCUAUACUUUUGAUUUUAGUUUUUGAUCUUAAAUCAUGUUUUUAGGUGUGUUUUAAUCGUUUUAAAUGAUCCCAGGUGGAAGAAAUUUCAAGGGGAUUGAAAGAAAAAAAAUCGGGUCGAAAUUGGAGCCGAAACAGAGCAAAAACAGGGGAAAAACAGAGCUCUGCGAAAUUUCGCAGGGUGAAGGAAACCUCUGCGAAAUGAGCAUUUUGUUGCGAAACCAUUCCGCAGCACUGUAGAAGCCUCUGCGAGUGUAUUUCGCAGCUGCGAAAGUGAAUUUGGCACACGAGUGCCACUUCGCAGUACAGUAGCAUCCAUUUGGCAGCUGCGAAACUCAUUGCGAAAUGGAAAAGCGUGAUUUCGCACCAAAAGUCCCAUUCCGCAGGGUAUUUCGCAAUUGCGAAAGUGGUUUUGGCACACGAGUGCCACUCCGCAGCACAGUAACAUCAAUUUCGCAGCUGCGAAACUCACUGCGAAGUUGCUGCGAAAAUGGCAAGUUGCUGCGAAAUUGGCGUUUAGUUGCGAAACUUAAACUGACCCCUGAGCUUCCGUUUUUCCUAUUUAUACCGGUCAAAAGUGCUGCGAAAAGGGUUUCAAAAAUCAGAGCACCAUUCUCGCAGCCCCUUCAUCUUCUUCGCCAAGCCACGCCGUCCGAACCUCCGGUCGUCUUCUCCGUUUAGCAGCGCCGGCCAAAGAUCGAUAUUCCAAAAUGGCACGAACGCGAGGGGCAAAAUCUUCAUCCCCUUCGAAUCGCAAAAGGAGUCUGCGAAAGGAGCCAAGUCCAGGUUCUGCUCCAGAACCUGCUCCAAAGCCUUCGCCGUCGAGACCACAACCUUCUCCAGUGAAGCCGGCGCCACUAAAGCCGCCGGCAAGACGAUAUUUGACAAGGUCAGGCGGUUGGCCAUUGAAGAAGAAGCCCAGGGUUGAGAGCUCUGAACCAAUUGAUUUGACUGAGCAAUCCCCUGAGCAGUCCCCAAAUCCUUCACCAGUUCAAACUCCAGUGCCGUCACCGGUUCCCUCGCCAAUUCCCUCACCUGAAGCAACUCCAAUUCCAUCGUCGGUACCAUCUCCGGCACCCCAAGAAAAAGCUCAGGAGCCUCAAGCGCCAAUUCCAGAGCCCCAAAUUGCAGCUGAAGCACCUCUGGAAGAAGUGAUCCGAAGGCCAAUGCUGCCCCAGCCCCCAAUCGAAGGAAACUUGGAUUGUCGAACACGGGCAUUCCAUUCUGAGCUUUGCUUCGAUUUAACAGCAUUCAGAGUGAGGCCAGAGCUUGCCCAAUCCUUCCAGCUGCUGAGGAGAUAUCAUAUGGAGCAUCUGCUAGCUCCAAGGGAUUUUUUCUAUCCCCGGGUAGUCACGGACUUCUACCAGACCAUGACAACCAAAGAAGUAAGAAAUCCAACUCUGAUCCAUUUCAUAAUUGAUGGAAGGCAUGGUAUUUUGGGAGCAAGACACAUUGCUGAAGCUCUGCAAAUUCCUUUUGAGCCAACCCAAUUCGACAAUUUUAAAGCUUGGGUAAAUCCUACUGAGUUAGAGAUGGUUCGCACACUAACCAGAGGAGCUGCAAAUCGAUCACACCUGUUGAGGGGGGAGCUACCUCCAGUGAUGUUUUUGAUUGAUGCCUUUUUGAGGCAUAAUAUCUAUCCCCUGCAGCAUUGGACCCAAAGAAGGGGAAUUCUCCUGGAAGCUUUGUACAAGAUGUCAGAAGGAUUCUUCUUUGGGCCCCAUCAUCUUAUCAUGGCAGCCCUUCUAUACUUUGAGGAAAAGGUUCACAAGAAGAAACUUCAAAGAGCAGAUUGCAUUCCACUCCUCUUCCCAAGGCUGCUAUGCCAAGUUUUGGAGCAUCUCGGAUACCCCUCUGAGCCUCAGCAGGAAAGAAAGAGAAUAUGCCGUGAGCCAUUUACUCUUGAUAAAUGGAAUAAUAUGACGGCCUACAAAAUUGAUCAGCCUGGGCAGCCUCAGCCAGCAGCAAGGAGAGCCUCCCCAAGACAUGCACCUGAAGGUAUAACACUUGCUACUCCUGCCAUCCCUCGAGCUUCACCAGCUGCACCUGCUGCAUCACAGCCAUCCACAUCAGCUGAGCCGAGGAUGGCCAUCCCUAUAUCCGAAUAUCGAGAGCUGUGCCGAGCAUUGGAGACUCUUACAGCUUCCCAGAGCAAUCUUGCUCAAGAGUUGGCAGCCAUCAAAGCAUGCCAGGAGCAGAUGUUAGCCUCUCAGGCUCAACAAGCUGCCAUCCUAAGGCAGCUUCAAGUCCAUUUCGAUCUGCCACAAGCUGUAGAGCCCUCCACUGAGACUCCACCAGAGCCACACUCUCAGCCUUCAGAGUCUCUUCCUCCAGAGCCAGAAGCCCCAACUGAUCCACCUACAGAGGAGGCGGAUCCUUCUGCUUAGCACCAUCACCCCACUCAUCAGACAUUAUAUAUAUUUGCUGUUUAUGUUUUUAUGCAUGUUUGUUUUGUUUUAGUUGAAAUGAAAUCCCAGUAUUUUGGUACUAUAUAUGGGAUUCCUUGUGAUUACUUGUCCUUAGCAUUGUACUCGAAUGAAUUGAAAGUAAUACAAGUUGAAUUUUUCUUGUUAAAAGUUAGCAUUAAAAUUCUCCUUAUUUCCUUUUCUCACAUAUUCUAUUCUUUUUGAAACAUGUGGUUUUCCCCAAUCAAUAUUCGAAUUUGAUAUCAGCAUGGAGGUACCACUUCCUCCCUUUUAUUACAGUCACUCAAAUCACAUUGAGGACAAUGCUCAGUUCGGUUGGGGGGUAUGAGGAAGGAAGUAUUCUAAAUCUUUUUGGUAUUGCAAUUAUAUUGGUUAAUUAGUUGUAGAUUUUACGUUUUACUCUUGUUACUCUAUUCUCCAUGAAUUUUGAGGAAAAAUUUUCAAAUUAAACCAAGAGAAAUUGAACUGUUGUUUUUCACUUGACUUAGAGUAUGGAUUAUGCUUACUAAAGUGGUUCAAUUGUUGAAACUUCUACUGAAAUUGAAUUGAGUUCUUCCAUUUUAAGCUAUCCACACACUGUGCACAUUAGUUUCUGAUUAUAAGAUGAAAAGCUAUUUCCCUCUUGACUUAGGAUAAUUUUGGGACUUGGUAUAUUUGACCUCAUUUGAUAAAAAUUGAAACACCCUGCAAAAGGCCAAUGAGCCUUUGAAAUAAAGAAAGAUGUUUGCUUGCCUUGAAACCCGAGCAAGGUCUGAGGGGCAUAUGGUGAAAGCCUUUAAAGCCUGGUGCCCUAAGCCUUAAUUGGUUGGGAGUCACCGACCUCAAUGCUCGUUACAAGGGUGAAUAGGUAGAGCUAGCAUAUGGUAGAUGCUUGGGUAUUAGAAAUUCAUUCUUAAAAGUCCAGGGAAAAAUCCGAGGAGUUAGUGGUUGAAAGAUCCUUAAAACUUGGUGCCCUAAACCUUAAUUGGUUGGGAGUCAUCGAUGGACCCCCAUUACAUGGACAAGUCAGAAAGAGUACCCCAUAAAGCUACUUUAAAAAAAAAAAAAAAAAAAAAAAAAAGAUGAUGAAAGUGUGUUCUUUUCUUAUUGAUUUUGGUCAGAUUGCUAAAGUGUUGAAAAGAGAUAGGUUGGGGGGGGAGACUAGUUUAGCAUAUUAUUCUCGGAAUCUAAGGAACCAAUACACAUAGAUUUUUGUGGAAGAUUGAAGUUUAGUUCUUAGAAAGUGAAAUGAUUUUAAAACUUCAGUUUGCAUAAUGCACUCCCUUGAUUGACAGUGUUUAGCAUAGGUGUUAUGACUCUUGUUGAGAUUUGGGUUUGUAUUUCUUUAAUGAUUCAUGUGAGAAGUAAAUCAUCAUGCCACUUAAGAAUUAUUUUCCUUUCAGCAUGAUGUUGUAAAUUUUAGAUUAGUUUGCUAUUUAUUUUUAUUUUUCUCUCCUUUAUUGCUAAGGGACUAGCAAUAUGUCGGUUGGGGGGAGUGAUUACUACUCAAAAAGUGCUAUUUGAUAGCCUUUAAUUAAUCCUUUUUAACACUUUUGAGUAGUAGUUUAGGCCUUUUAACUCAAUUGGCAUGUUAAGGAUCCUUUAAAGCAAUUUUGAUCACUUUGUGCAAGUUUUGGUGUUUUUGUUAGUAUUUCGAUCACCAAAGCAAGUCAAGAAUGAGGAGAGCUAUGAGGAAUCUUGGGCAAAGCUUAGAAUUCAAUUGCCAAGAGUGAAUCCGGAUUGCAAGGAGAAAAAGCAAAGAGGAUCAGUCAUGGAGCAUAUUCUUGAUGACAGUCGUAGCAGCCACUUUUGGAGCACUUUCUGAAGUCCAAAUGAUGCAAGCUAUAUACCAUUUCAAAGCUCAGGAAGUCAACAAUCCAAUGCUUCAAACGGUGUGCGAUUCGGAAUUGAAACGAAGAAGUUGCAGCCAUUACAAGCCAGACACUCUAAAGUGUUGCGGAAUCAGCCAUGUGUUGCGAGAAUUUCGCAGCACUUUUGUACAGUAAGGUGUUUCUCCUUCUAACGAUGCACGAACCAUGCCGCGAGAAGGGAGCUGGAAACUUCAAGAUGGAAGCCAACUUGGCAGCCUAGUGAAGAUAGCUCGGUCUUGCAAGAUAAUUUCGCAGCCCUCUUGGGUGUCUGCGAAAUUUCGCAGGCCUCAUUUUUCACCUGCGAAAUGGCUCCUGAAGCCUCCCGAAGCUUGCUACCGACAUUGGGAGAUAUUUUCCAUUAGAUUUUUGUUGUCUAAAUCCCAAAAUACUCCUUGUAAACCACCAAUUACAUGAUUCCUUAGUUUUUAAGUUAGUAAAAAGACCAAAUAUCUUUGUAACAAUUAGUUUUAUAUUUUGUUGUUAUAAAUACCUCUCGGGAGCCUGUUCUCAGGGAGGAGUUCCUUCUGUAAACGUUUGGUAAGCAAGUAAAGUCUAUUUUCUUUCUACUGCCUUACCUUCUCACUUUGUAUUUUCAUUUUAUUUCUAAGUUAUGAAUUCUCUGAGGAGUUUUCCCCAAAGAAUGAGUAACUAAACCUCCAAUUCCUUGGAGCUAAGGUUGCCGGGGAAGGUUCCAAGUGCAAGAAUGCAAAGCUCUGUGGUUUUAGCUAGUAAUGAAGAGGAAGUGAAAUCCUUUAGUGAUUUCAAUGUUUUUAGUUAACUUAAAACACUUUGGAGUCACCUGGGCCAACACUUGGUAAGGCAAGUGAUUUCCAACCAUGGAAAUGCACUAGUUUACCCCUUGCGAGCCUCUGGUAGGUGACUUCAAGGUAGGAUUUUCUGGAAUUACCAACACUUGGUAAGCUUUUGGACUCCUAGGAGACAUCCAUUAGUUAUCUCUUGCGAGUUUGUGAAGGGAAUCCAAGGUUAAAGAUCACCUUGAAUGGUAAGUGCUCGUGAGAGGCAUGAACCAUUGCAAGUUGUAUCAGUGAGAGAAUUAAAGUGAAAUCUAAUUGAAGGAGUCUUUGUACAUCACCGGUUAGAGAAUUGACUAUAAGUUGAAUCUCUAAUGCGAGGAAAUGAACCAACUGACCAGAGCCGUGUCUUUUGCAUGAGGAACCACCCCAGUGAACCUAAAUCUCCAAGGAAUGUUUUUUUCUUCCUAAAUUAUUCCAAACUUCUGUUAAGUUAGUUAGUUUAAAUCUCAACCUUUACAAAUCAAAGUUUGUGUUUUAUUCCUUAAGCUAACCGUGAAAUGAAACAAGACCAAUUCACUUGGAAUUGGUAUCAUUGAUUGCCUGCAAAUCAUUCCCAAUGAACGAUCCUAGAGCCACUAUACUAUAGUAGCUUUGUAUUUACUACCCUAGUGUAUGGUGUUAUAGGUAUAAAUUUUGUUGAUCACUUCCUCAAUCAAGGAGCACCAGCUGAACACAAAUCAGCUGAGACACCAAUUAGGCAUGAGUCAGUCAUCUCCAUUAUUGUUUUAUUUUUUCUUUCCACCACCCCAUUUUGUUGUGGGGUGUAUGGUGCAAUGAGCUGGUGAUCUAUGCCUGCAUCUUCACAAAAUUUGUUGAAUUUUUCUGAAGUAUAUUCUGUACCAUUAUUCGACCUUAUAACCUUGAUUCUGUAUUCACUUUGAUUUUCAACCAUGGCCUUAUAUCUCAAAAACACAUCAGCAACCUCAGCUUUGUAAGUGAGAAAAUAAAUCCAACAAAAUCUUGUGAAGUCAUCAAUAAAUGCAAUAUAGUACUUACUCCCUUUCAAAGAUGGUGUCUUUUGAGGUCCACUCACAUCUGUGUGAACCAAUUGUAGUUUCUGUGUUGAUUUCCAUGCUGCUUUUUGAGGAAAAGGAAGUCUUGUUUGCUUCCCAUAUUGAUAGGCUGCACAUAUAGGAAGUUCUUCUUCCAAAUCAGGGAGUCCUUCUACAAUCUAAUUCUUCUUCAUGUAGAGCACGGUAUUGUGGUGGAAAUGCCCUAAUCUUUUAUGCCAAAGCAUUGUAUUGUUCUCGUGUUGUGCAGCAGUAAUUUGCUCAUCUUCUAACAUAUUUAAGGCAAAACUUUUGCCUUUCAUUUUUAUGUUGAACACCUCUUUGCCUUCAGCAUCCUUGAUUAUGCAAUUUUUGUCUUCAAAACAAACUUUAAACCCUUUCUCAACAAGCUGUCCAACACUUAGCAAAUUUUGGUCAAUGUCAGGCACAAACAAAACAUCAGAAAUGAGCUUUAAACCUGUUAGGCUUUCAAUAGCUAAUGUUCUUUUACCUUUUACUGGAAUAUACUCACCAUUUCCUAUUCUAACUUUGGAAAUAGUUGUCCUAUCAAUCUCCCUAAAGCGAUCUUGAUCAUGUCAUGUGGUUUGUGCAACCACUGUCCACGAGCCAGCUUUCAGAGGUGCUACCGUUUGCAAAACAUGUUGCUGAAAAUAGUUGUUCCUCCUGGUAUUGUUCAGCUGCUACAUUGGUUUCUCCCUGCUGCUGCUGAGUUCUACAGAUCCUUUCUAUGUGUCCAUGUCUACCACAUUUGUUGCAUUUCACAUCUGGUCUCCACCAACAUUUUUGUUGAGGAUGAUUUGUUUUCUUGCAAUGAGGACAGGGUGGAUAGGUUCCAGUUUUUUUAUUGUUGUUGUUGCUUGGCUUAUUGUUGUUCUUUUUGUUCUUCCUCCUUCUUGUGUUACCUUCAUUGGUCUGUGUCUUUGCUUGAAAAGCUCCUUCUACAGAACUUCCUUGCCUCAUGAGUCUUCUUUGUUCCAAAGCUUGUAAAGCAUUUAGUAGUUCUGCCAAGGUGAUACUUGACAAAUCUUUUGUGUUUUCCAAAGAAGAAAUUGUAGCUUCAUAUUUUUCAGGAAUUGUGACAAAAUUGUUUUGAACAACUCUUUCAUCAGAAAACUCUUUACCUAGCAACCUCACCUUGUUUGCUAUGGUAAGAAGUUGUUCUGCAUAAUCUUUUAUGGUUUGAGACUCUUUCAUCCUCACCAUUUCAAAUUCUCGAAUUAGAUUCAUUACCUGCACAUUUCUGACUCUUUCAUUGCCUUGAUAUUCUUCCCGUAGAUGCUUCCAGAUUUCUGCAACAGAUUCAAGUUGCAUGAUUCUGGUGAGAAUUAAUGGUGAGACUACAGAAAAUAAGCAAGCCUUGGCCUUAGCCUUCCUCGUCUUUUUCUCCUUAUGGUUUUUCAUCUGUGACACAGUUGGAUUGGCUCCAAGUGGAGAAAUUUCAUAAUCUUCCUCUAUUGCUUCCCAGACAUCAAGAGCCUGUAGAUGAACAGUCAUCCUGACAGCCUAAGUUUGGUAAUUUUCUCCAUUGAAGACUAGUGGUGCUGCUGUGAAGCUUGCUUCUUCCAUUUCUGCAAGGUUUUCAGAUUCAGGUUUGGUAUACGGUGUUUAGGCUCACACACCUCACUGGUCCCUCAAGACAAAAAUUGCUCUGAUACCAAACUGUUGGAAGCAGGCGAGGUUAACACACCAAGCAACAGAGAACAGAGAUAUGCUGCUACUGAUCUAUAUUUUUUAUUUGAUCAUAAGGCUGAAUUUAUACAGAUUGUGUAACAUAUAUGACCUCAAAAAAAGCAUCAAAUCAAGCUACUUGUUGAACAAAAAACUACCUCCUACAAAAUAGCAUCAGAAUUUAACUUAAAAGCAAAAACAUAAUAAUAGCAACAGCAAAAACAGAAACAUAAAAAUAGCUUCAACAUUCUAGUAAUCUCAUUGACUUCAAUUGCAUGUGGUUGACGAUUUCAGCCUUUUCCUCAGCAGCUACUAAGGCAUAACUCUCAACAGGGCCUCUUAAUUUCCAUUCUGGCAUCUAUAUGACCUGAUAAAUAGAAAGAAAAAAAAACAGAAGAAAAGCGGCACCUGGGUUCAUAGUAAGCAUCAAGACAGGAUGCUGAAAGAAGGGAGAGAGGAGAUUGCAAGUCCAAUCCUGAUAAAAUAUCAACAAAGAGUAUUAAAUGGGGCCAACAUAAAGACCCAUUAAGGUCAGCAGAUGGCAUGGCAUUUUUCUCCUUAAGUUUUCCAUGAUUAGGCUUGAAGUCAAAAUUUCACAUGUAAAUUUGUAUUUCUACAUUUCCCACUGACGACACCCAACUUCAACUUGAGUUAGAAUAACAUUGUGUGAACUUAUCUGGCCCUCAAAAUUUACUGUGAAGUGCUUUCUGCGUGUGAAGAUUCAGAAAAGCACCAAGGGAACAUGUAUGGUCUGCCUUUUUCUGAUGUUAUGUUUGUCUCUAAUUCUGUUCCAUGUCAUGGUAAAUGUUCACAUUGCUUGUAUGGAACACACCAGGAUCACUUUUUCAGGUUUAGGGGGAUACAAAAGGCUUCAUAUUGGGUUCAAUGCUUUUAAUGUGUUCAUUGGACAAAUCUGAAUUAUCAUACGCAUUUAGAUAAGAACAAUAAUGUGAAACCCUAGUUACACCUCCCCUGCAUAACCCCAACCCUGCUUGCUCUAUUUCAGUUUACUCACAAGUUUUACUGGUUCUUAUAAGUCAAGAAAAGGCAACUGAUGUUGGAUCGACUCUCUUCCAUGUAAAAAAUGCAACUUUUAUACAUAUAAAAGAACUUCUUCCCCUCACCAAUGUGGGAUUUCAUAGAUUUAUUCUGGAAACACAUCAAAGGAACAUCUUUUCUCUUGGGUGACCCUAAGUGGUGAGUCAGAUCAUUUGCAUGCCAUUGAGUUGCACAGUUGGAUAAAUGCACCUGCCUCCUGGGCUCCAGAGUUAAAAGGGUGGAUCCCUGGAUUGCAACCCUCUUGGCAUCUUGGUUUCUAUUCCAACAUCCACAUGACUUGACAAAACAAAAAACAGAAUAAAAUCAGCACUAUAUUCAUGCUAAGCACCAAUACAUGAUGGAAAUCAUUGCUUAAAGAUUUGGGGUCGUUUUAGGUUUUGACUGCCUCCUACCACCUCACCUAAUGACAAGUUUUUAUGCUUACAAAUCAAAUAUCGUUCUUCAUUAUAUUAAAAUCAUUUUAAGAUUUCAGAUCCAUCUGCUAAUUAUGAUUAUGAUAACAUUUAUUCACCUGUGCUUCUCAUUUUCGACACACAAGGCAUCUAGGUUUGCAGGAUUUCCUUAUUAGAUGAGAUAAAUGAGUACGUAUGGUUAUGUAUCCAGCAUUCAUUAACCAUGGUAUGUGACAUUUAGAAUUAAGAUAGCAAGCAAACUUUCCCUGCAGCUAGAGUAAAUUGUGAUUUCUUAGCCUCUAUGAGUGGUUCCCAAAUCAAAUUAACAUAGUGAAAUAUACGUAGUCCAGUGAAAGGAAAUGUAAAUUAUAAACUAACAGCACUACACUACUGGUAACAAUCGAUACUCUCUAUAUAAUGCAAUAAACAAUGUCACAAUUGCCUACAAGCAAGGCACAAACACUAGAACAAGUAAAGCACAAACCUUUCCCAACAGUUCCCAGUGACUGAUGCAUAUCAUACCCUCAACUCACAGAAGGGGAUGAUAUCAGUGCACUGCAGCACUUAUUUUACACAUACUACCACUACUACUACUACUACUACUACUCAUUAGCCAAAGUCACUCAGUUGGGAUGAGUGUGAGGUAGAGGUUUGUGGGGUGCUAUGUGGAAAGGAGUUUGGCUUCUUCUCAGGAGAUGGUAGCUUCUUUGCAGGAGUUGAAGGAGGCUUAAUCUUCUGUGGUGGAUUGAUUGUAUGAGUCUUUGGCACUCUCUUCUCUAGUACAGGUGAAUACCCAGGGGUGCAUCCAUAAUGCGGUGGCUUCUAUCCCUUAGGUGGUUUGCCAAAU